rnacentral:lncRNA from 1 species
AAACCUACCACCAGAUUCUCAAGUUAUGUGAGUAAAUCAGUUCUCUUUUAGCUAAAGUCAGUUAGGAGUGAAUUUUCUGUCAAUUGCCUUAGAAAAGAGUUCUCGCUGAUACACUUGUCCUUAAUACCUUUUCAAGGCCAUAAUGCUGGGACAUAGUAAGUACAUCACUUACCUGAUGACUAAUAGUGGAUGCAUACCAUAUGACAUCAAUUUAUUUUGCUACUGCUACUGGGCAAGGCAAGGGGGGCCUUAAUGUUAUCACAUAGGAAGUGGCAUGUCAAAAUCAAGUGGGAGUGCCUGCUGUGGGUUAAACUUCCAGGAAUGAUGCAACUCUUCUUGCCCCAGUCAUUAAGCCUUUUUUUCUUUCUUUCUUUUUUUAAUGUUUAUUUAUUUUGCAAGAGAGAGCACGUGAGCUGGAGAGGGACAGACAGAGACAGGGAGAGAGAGAAUCCCAAGCAGGCUUCACGCUAUCAGCUUAGAGCUCAGUGUGGGGCUCCGUCUCACAACUGUGAGAUCAUGACCUGAGCUGAAAUCAAGAGUCAGAUGCUAACCGACUGAGCCACCCAAGUGCCCCUAAACCUGGCGAUCACAAGAUAGAAAUCAACGGUCAAAACAGGAGACGUGAAACAUAGCAGCCUUUGGUCCCUAUAUAUCUCCCACCUCUUUAACGCUGCAUCUGCCUCUAGCCUCCAGUCCUAGCCAACUAAAAGUAGUUCCCCAAAUGGCUCAUGGUGCUUCUUCAUGAAUUAGUAGCUUGGCACUAGCUCUCUCCUCAAGGCUGGACUGCAUUUCUCCUACAAUCUACCCUUUGAGACUCAACUCAGCUUGUGCCCCAGCCUCUGUGAAAUUUUACCUGACAGCACCAACACUGCCCUGCUCCUCACACCUGGCCAUCCCCAUCCUCUAAAAUUGAGCACUUACUGUGUCACACUCUGUACAUCCUUCACUGUGACCCAUAUGCAAUUAUUUGUUUUAUUUGUCUCUCCUGCUGGACUGAGCUCCAUGAGGGCAGCAGUUCUCUCCAAUUCUUCCUGGAACUUUUGGGGACCUGGCUGUUAAGCUAUCAAAAAUUCUUUGUGAAUAGUGGAAAUAACUGAGUGUAUGAAAUGAACGAAUGCAGAAACAGAAGGAGUCAUACAUUUUCAGAGCUGGGACCUUGGAGUUCACCUAAUCCUUAUGAUCAAGAUAUUGAUCAAAAUUCCUAUCACAAUAGGAAUUGCAAGGUUAUACAUUCUAAGAGAGUACAAUGUUAAAUUUAAUUAGAACUCAUUAUAUAAUCAUAUCCUUUAUUUUAUUUUUGCAUAAAUAUAGCAAUAUAUUACAAAGCACCUCUAAGAAUUCUCAUUCUUUAAACUUGGCUACCUUUCUUCUCUAUUUCAAAUUUAAGAUUUUUAAAUUCUCUUUAAGUAUUCUAUUUCCUAUGCAUGUCUGUUUGCUCCUCAGACCUACACGAUAUUUGUGAUUAGAUAAUAUUUUAUUAUAACCAAGAGCCAAAACAUCAGUUCAAAUAGCACGUGAAAUGAGACACUUAACAGAGCCAAGCUAAUUAUAGUUGGAAAAAGACCCUCCACCCACCUUAUACAAACACACACACACACUUCAUAUCCAUACUCUUUAAUAAUUCCAGGAUUUCAACAUCUUUGUGUAGGAAGGGAGUUGCUGUCACUUGAAAAGGUUACAGUAAUGCAUCCUGUUUCCUAUAGACCUAUAAGAAUCUGGGCAUGGUUAGAAGCAAGAGGAUGAACACAGUGGGAAUCGACAUGACUGCAUAAAAAUGUAGCCAGUUCUCUCCAUGAAGGGUAGACUUAGUACAGAUUAUUUUCUGGGAAAUGUUUCUUUUUUUUUUCUUUUUUAAAUGUGAAUUGUCUUUGAUAAUUAUUCUUUGCUUUUGGAGGAUUUGUAUGUGUAGAAUCCAAUAGAUGAUCAAGAAGAAUGAGGUGGCAAAUCUUCAGUGCUACAAAUAGGCAAAAGUAGAACGACAAAUGCUACAGGGACUACAUUGUUAGAGACCUUCUGUGUUGCUUGACUGAGCCUUCCAGAAACGUAUUGUUGCAAAUAAUAUCCUGUGGGUUGCACUGGUUGGGAAAGGGCGAUGAACCCUCCAGGAGAUUCAACUACCAUUAUUAGUGAAGUAUAAGGUAGUAAAGAUACAGACUGUAGAGCAAUGGAGGAAGGUGCUUUCUUUCUAAGACGAAAAUACACAGGGUGGACCUUGAGAUUAAGGAGUGAGGCUAGGAAUCGGGGUAUGCUCUUAAGGAUCUCUGUGUAAAUAUUUCACAUUAAGUCUUUGGUUGCCCUUAUCUUUGAACUAUCUGGAAGUUUUAUUUUGUGAACAGUUUUUAAUCUUUCCUCCAUGUUGUAAUCCCCUUCAUUUGUUUCCAAUCUUUAGUUGUUAUUAACACCAGUACGGCCUCCUGUGGUGGGGGGUGUGGGACAAUCAAAGAAAAGAACAGCAUAGGAAAGUACAGCCGUCUGCAUAUUGCACCUCCUCAGGGCUGUAGUGUUGUGGUCCUCACUUAUGGCAGUGGUGGGGGGGAAAUGGGUGGGGGUGAGGGGUGGAAAAAGAGUAGUGGUCUGAGGAAGAGCAUGGAGAACAAGGCUCCUGAAAGGACUGUGAAUAGGCAGAUGACUCAGGAGCAGACAGGGGGGUGGGGGGUGGAGGGGUGGAGGGGCAAGCGAUGGCGGCUGGGGUUGGAAACGUUCUUUGUUUAAAGGAAUCAGAGCUUCCUGUCUAUUCUACCUUUCAUUACUGAGUCACCAAGCCUCCCCUGCUGUCCUCAAAUCUGGCUACUUUUUCCCUCUUCCUUCAGCUUUCAUCAUUUUUUUUUUUUUUUACCUAGAUUUUGGCAACAGCCACCUACAUUGUUUCCUGUCACCAGUUGCUUCCUUGCUCUGGUCUGGUUCUCCUCCACAGCAUUAAAGAGCGCUGGCCUAUGACCAGUGCUCUUACUAGUACUUCCCUUAAAAAAAUCCUUCUUUCUGCCUGCUUAUUGUCUUGGGGAUUUCUUUUGAAAAGUUGGCACCUUUCAUUUGGAGACUUAGGUAUUCAAAGCUAGCAGAUACCUGUUUGGUUAAGAGGUGCCAUUAAAGUCAUUUGUCCUGCUAAAAAGGUUCCAUUUAAAGAUUUACCCAUUUAAAGAUUACGCAAAUUUUCAGUAUUGAGGCAGGUGGCCCCACAGUAGAAGCAGUGAUGUCCUCGAAAAUCUACUUUGUUUAGGAAAGCAGAUAUUCACAUACUGAUCAAAAGGCUUGUGGGAUAUGCCUCGUUGACAGUUCUAUAAAUCCAUCAAAUAUUUCUGUUCAUAGAUGAAUCUGGGUGGAGAGAGAUGGUAAUAUGAUAGAGACAAUGGUGGGGUCUAUGAACACAGAUUUUGGAUACAAAUAGAUUAAUUCUUGGGCUUGGCUCUUUACCUCUGUACCUCGUUUUAUCCUGUUAUAUCAUGGGCUUAGUAGCACACACAGCCCACUUAAUUUCCUGAAAGUUAUUUAUAGCAUUUAAAAAAGUCUUCUAUGAAGUUAAUUUCAUGCCUGAAUUUUUAAUACGCAUAAUGAUUUAUAAACACAUGGAAGAGAAAGGAAGAGCCAGAAAAUAUGCCCCUUUAUGCAUCCCAGUAAGUCAUGCCAUUGAAAAGGGGCCCAGACACAGCUUUGAAAUCCAGUCUGGAGUUCCAAUUAUCCCUCUCUUUUCAUAUGCUUUGUCUAUCAUGAUUGAAUGGAUAGCAUAAAACUGAUAUAUAAAGUCUUUUCCUCAUCUAUAUUGUAGAGAAGUACACCAUUGACGUCUUCAUACAUGUCAUUAAUAUGAGAUUUCUCCUAUAUCAACAAUAAUGUGUUAUAAUACAUUCAACUUUGGUAUUUAGUUUAUAUGCCUUAAAUUCAAAAGCUCUUCACCCACUACUGCCCACAUAUGCUGACAACUGUUCUGAUCCCAGCAGGAGUAACAGAUUUUCUUUCUGAAGCGUUGCAGAACUACAACCAGAGUGUUAUUAUUAGAUGAAAGAUCUCAUACUGGUUUUGCGAUAGAGAAAAAAGAAAGAAUCGAGAUGAAAAUAAUCUAGGCUAUUUAAAAAUGCCCCACAUUUUCAAAAUUGUAAUUCAGUUGGGUUUUCAAAGGUAACAUAUUCAUAUGGCUCAAAGUUCAAAAGGUAAAAAAUUAUAAUCAGAGAAUAAUUUCUAUCAUAUCCCUGUUCCCCUGCCAUCCGGUUCUUCCAGACUACACUAAUGUUAUAAAAUGUUUGUAUUUUCUCCCAGAGAUAGUCUACGUAUAUACAAGCAAAUGUGGACACACAUAUGUGUUUAAGUAUAUAUCUUGUCUAUUUUCCCUUGACAACUUAUUUUGGAGGUGGUUUUGUAUCAGUACAUAUAAAGCUUUUAAAUAAUUUUUUUGGUUGCAUAGUAUUCCAUUUCAGGAGUAUACAUAAAUUAUUUUACCAGUGCCACGUGAAUGGAUAUUUAAGUGCUUUCCAAUCUUUUGCUAGAUAUCCCUAUAUGAUAUCCCUAUACCUACAUCAUUUUGCCUCUGGACAGGUAUUUCUUUAGCAUAAACUCCUAGAAGUUGAAUUUCUUGGUUAAAACUAUGUGUUAUAAUUUUUUAAGGAAUGUAAUUUAUUCAUUUUUGAAUUGUGAUAAAAAAAUCAAAAGGAACAAAUGGAUACAUUUUGAAAAAUAACUUUUUCAUUCCCCCUUUGCCGCACCACACACUUCCUUUCCCCAGAAGCAAAUAUGCCUCUAGCUUCUUGUAUAUCCUUUCAGAGAUUUUACACACACAUAAGCACACGCACAUACAUAUCCGUAUGGACAAGAAUGCAUAUAUAGGAGAACUUAUUUAGUCAGAUUUGUAUUUUUUUUAUGUUUUAUUUAUUUUUGAAAGAGAGAGAGAGAGAGAGGCAGUGCACAAGUGGUGGAGGGGCGAGAGAGGGGGAGACACAGAAUCUGAAGCAGGCUCCAGGCUCUGGGCUGUCAGCCCAGAGCCCUAUGAGGGGCUUGAACUCAUAAGCCAUGAGAUCAUGACCUGAGCCGAAGUCGGACACUUAACUGAGCCACAUGACCUGAGCCGAAGUCGGACACUUAACUGAGCCACCCAGGCACCCCCAGAUUUGUAUUUUAUUAUGUACUGUAGUCUACAAGGAACAGAAGGCUCUUGCAAAAAUGGCUGAAAGGAUUCAGUGUAACCAUUUAAGUUAGGAACAUACUCUUUUAUUGCUUCAUACACCAUCAUCAUUUGAAGUGAUAAUUCCACUAAUUUUCUCUAUGCACAUCUGUUCUGUGUAGAGGAAAAGGAGGCUAUAAAGAGCCCUGCACUGUCCUCAGCCAAAAAUCAUCUGAUGAGAUCCAGUCUGGAGUUUGCUCUGUAUGCCUGGAAAAGAGCAGUUACUCUAUAAUCCUAUCCUCCUUAUCAAGGGCUUCUCUUUCUCUUAUGUUGGAUUCCCUGUUCCCUCUGGCCCAUGUAAUCCUCUUUUUUAUAGUGUUCUCCCUCACUCUUUCUUCCUCUCUCUCUCUCUCUCUCUCUCUCUCACACACACACACACACACACACACAGAACUACGCAUUUUCUCUCCCUUACAUCUUCCAGAACAAGAGUGUCUAGGAGGUAAAUUUUUUGAGAUCUUGCAUUCUUGAAAAAUCUAUUUAUUCUUUCCUCCCAUUGAUUGGCAAUAGAGUUUUAGGUGGGAAAUACAUUUCCCCCCCCAGAAAUUCAUAGGCAUUGCUCCAGUCUUACUGUUAAGAAAUACAAUGCCAUUGUAACUUCUGACCCAAUUUUUUUCCUUUCUGGAAACAUUUGUGAUCUUCUCUUUGUCUCCAAUAUUUACCAGUGCCAGUGAUAUGCCUUCAUGUGAUUUUAUUUUCAUCUAUUAUAUUGAAUACUGGAUAGGCCUUUCAGUCUGGAAAUUAAUGUUUUAUAGUUUUGCAGAAUUUUCUGAAUUAUUUCUGGCAUUUUUAUUAUUUCACUAGUAAUUUCCUCUUGAAUGCUCUUUUUUCUCUUUUGCUACUUUUCAAGUACAUACAUAUGUUUAGGUAUACGUGUGUGUGUGUGUGUGUAUACGUGUGUGUAUACACACACACACACACAUACAAGUAUGUAUAUAUUUGAAUUUGCUAUAUAUAUUUUUUUUCAACGUUUAUUUAUUUUUGGGACAGAGAGAGACAGCAUGAACGGGGGAGGGGCAGAGAGAGAGGGAGACACAGAAUCGGAAACAGGCUCCAGGCUCUGAGCCAUCAGCCCAGAGCCCGACGCGGGGCUCGAACUCACGGACCGCGAGAUCGUGACCUGGCUGAAGUCGGACGCUUAACCGACUGCGCCACCCAGGCGCCCCAAAUUUGCUAUAUAUUUUGAGAAAAUUUCUCAACUUUAUUUCCCAGCUGACACUCUUUUUCAAACUAAUCUCUAUACCCAGUGUGGGGUUCAAAUGGAUAAUCUGAGAUCAAGAGUCAGAUGAGCCAGCCAGGUACCCCCCAAUUGAUAUUCUUAUGUACUUUAAAUUUUUUACUUUUAUGGUGACUAUUUGUGUGUGUGUGUGUGAGGGAAAAAACCUUUAUUAAUAAAUAGGUUACAGUGAAAUAGAGUGAUGGUUUAUUGGGGAAUAAAAACUCAAGCAGAAUCUGUCUCUCUCUACCCCAGCUCUAGCUCUCAGCUGCUGUCUUCUUACUGGCCAAUUUGAUGAUGAGGCAUCUGUCUCUCUCUCUCUCUCUCUCUCUCUCUCUCUGUCUAUAUAUAUAUAUAUGAUAUAUAUAUAUAUCAUAUAUAUAUAUCGUCUAUAUAUAUAUGAUAUAUAUAUAUCAUAUAUAUAUAUCAUAUAUAUAUCAUAACAUUUACCAUUUUAAAUAGUUUUAAUUGUACAGUUCAGUGGCAUUGAUGAUAUUCACAUUGUUGUGCAACCAUCACCACCAUUGAUCUCCACAAAUUUUUCAUCUUCCAAAACUAUAACUCUGUACCCAUUAAGUAAUAACUCCCCAUACCUCCCUGCCCUAAGCUUCCUGGAAACCACCAUUCUAUUAUCUGGCUUUAUGACCUUGAUAACUAAAGUACCUCAUUUAAGUAGAAUCAUGCAAUAUUUGUCCAUUUGAGUCUGGCUUAUUUCACUUAAUAUAAUGUCUUCAAGUUUCAUCCUUGUUACAGCAUAUGUCAGAAUUUUGUUCCUUUUUAAGGCUGAAUAAUAUUCCAUUGUAUGUAUAUUCUACAUUUUGUUUAUCCAUUCAUCUGUCAGUGAAUGUUUAGGGUGUUUCCAUAUUUUGGCUAUCUAUAUAAUACUACUAUAAACAUUGCUGUAUCUUAUUUUUUAUUUAUACUAUUAUAUAUUUUUUCAGGAGUUUUCUGAAUGUUCCAUUUGUAUUAUAUUUCAUUCUUUUUUUAAAGCGAUGAAAUCUUAUCUUAAUUCUCUGAAGAUAUAAAUGUUAUUAUAUAUAUGAAUAUAUUAUAUAUGUAAAUUUAUUUUUCCCUGCAUUGUGUUCAUAUCUUCCAAGUUGCACUUUAUUGCUUGUUUAUUUUCAUCUCUUUUCCAUGUUAGAGUUUUUUUUUUUUCUUUUUUUUCAGAUGUCUUGUAAUCUUUGAUUUUCUACUCUUAAGAAUGAAAGUCUAAAAGCUGAUAGGGAGCUCUGAAUACAUAUAUGUACAUAUAUAUCUACAUAUACGUAUAUAUGUAUGUGUGUGUAUAUACAUACACACAUGUAUAUAUAUAGGGCUUACUGACCUUGAGCUUUCUGCAAGGGGAUCUGGGAAGGCUACGUGUUGGACAUCCUUGUUAGCAGUACUUUUAGGUCUUUCUAGUUGGGAUGGAUGGCCAGAUUCCCAGAGUAAAGUCCAUCCCUCUCCUUCCUAGAGGGUUGAGAUCUGGCUGCCAGUGUCCUGGGUGCUAAGUAUGGAAAGGAGUUUUGAGAGGAUGUUUCUGAUAGAAUAUUCAGGUCUUCAUUUGUGCCUGGCCUCUCUCAGUCCAAAACAAAAACCACAGACUUGUCCAAGGUUGGGAGAGUCAGUCUUACGCUGGCCUGGAGUUGAGAAUCUAAAGAGAUAAUCGCUUCUCAGUCAGCGUUGACCCAGUCCUUCAGCACUGGCCUUGCCCCUUUCACUUUCAGGUCCAGAAUUACCUGGUGCUACCAUUUCUUGAACCUUCCGAGAUUUCUGUUGUGUUAAUGGGAACGCUUCUCAGCUUUCCUCCAUUACAGCUUAGUUUCUCUGUGACGUCUGCUGAAUCAGUCAGAUUUCAUCCAUCUAUUUUCUAAUUUUCAAAAGUAUGUCGCUGCUAUCUCAUCUCUUCCUCCUGAUCUUUUUGUAUAUUAAAAAAAAAUGCCUUUCGGGUUGCUUUCACAUGAUUUUCUGAAGUGGUAGCUGUUGAUAUGUGUGUAUUCAAUCCUUACGUUAACCCUAAACUGGCAUAGCAUACUCUGCUUGUCUGGGAAAGAGGAUAAAGGCCUCCUUGAUUCACCAAACUUCCAAUCAAUUUAGGGACUUACAAUUUAGUUUUAUGCCAUUAACUUAAUGCUGCCUUAUUGAAAAUUCUCUCAUUUCCUCAUUUCAAGGUAAUAGUUAGAAAUCAGUUUAUUUUUCUGUAACUGAGGCAUUAAAGUUUUGGCCUAAAUCACAUGAAGUAUCUACUCUGAAAAAGCAGUCGAUGUGUCAGUAAAUAAAUCUAUUUAUUUUAAGGCACGACUUGCCUAUAGACAUUCUAUUAGAAGGAGUAAUCAUUUAGAAAAUUAUAUUUGCUUACGAUGGAUUUUAAAUUAUUAAUGAGUUGUGUUAUUUGGUUCCCCAUUUAUAAAAAAAAAAAAGGCUCCUCCUGGUGAUUUUUAAGAAGAAGUUUCAUAUAUUUUCUUUGAGGUCAUUGCAUUUGGUCAAAUUAAAGUAGUGUUGCAGUAAUCGAAAUGAAUCUGUAAGAGGAAAAUAACUUAAAAAUAAAAAUGGCACCUGUUUAUUACCCAGAUAUAUCUGUUCCCUCUGCUUCAUUUUAGUCAUAGCUAUUUAAUUUCCUGAAGCAAAAAACAAACAGAUUUUUCACUAAUGUCAGUGCUGCAGAGCUUGCAUAGGACAGAAGAGCCAGCUGUACUCGAUUUCGUCUUAUGCAUCAUCAACAAAAUUGGCAGCUAAGUUCUGAUUUCAGAGCCUUUAUGGUUAAUGAUGAUGUACAAGCUGUGCUUGAUUUUCAGAUACAAGACUGAUCUUUGCUGACAGAAAAAUCUAUUUUUGAUUUGUAAAUUGAGCAAAUUUGAUGCAAAAUUAUUGAUGUAGGAUAAACGCAGAUCACGAAGAUAUCAUUUUUAGACUCACAUUUCUACCCCUUAAACCACUUCGCUUUAUUAUUAUUAUAAUCAUCAUCACCCUUAUAAUUAUUAGCAUUACGAUGAUGGUAACUAAGAUUUAACUAGAAUUGCAGUGAAGUUUUGUGAAUGAGUCAUGUAUCGACAAAUCUUCUACUAACUUAAGAAUGUGACUGCAAUGAAAAGGAACAACAGAACUAAUUAGCAAUCGAUUCCAUUAGCAUCCCUGCUCUGGACAUAAGGCUAAUUCAGAACCCUAUGUGGCAAGUGAUCAUGAGUGUAAUCUGACAUCACGUAAAGAAUGCUGGAGCAAAUAGGUGUGAAAGAGGGGGAAAAAAGUCUUCCUUCAUUAUGAGCUCUUUGACACCAGAAAUAUUUCAGUCGUUGCUUAAAGCAGCUACUAUAUUUUUUGAGUUCAUACAAAUCGUUUUAUCCUACGUGCCCAUGGUGUACCAUUGAAUUUUUUUUUUUUUUUUUUAGAAGCAGCAGUAAUGGCCUUGUGCAAAAUCAUGUGGCUAUAAAGUCUUAUCUUAGAUGUUGUUUCAUCUUGAUCCCAUGCAGGAGCCCUGCCCACAUGUAUCCAGUUCUUUCAUGCUGUUUCCUGGAGUAGUACUCCUACCCUUUGCUCUAGUUUGCCCCUUCCUUAUUCCAUACCUAUCACUCUUUAACCAUAUCACAGCUUACCUGUCUUCUGUCCCAUUCCUUUAAGAUUUUGUAAGGAUACAUGUGUUAGGAGCUUGAAAAUAUUGUUUUUUAGAUAUAUUAUCCUUCUAGGAGUACAGAUUUGCAUUUUAAGAGGAACUCUUGAAGACCUAUUGCCAGAAGUUGAAAUGUCACAUUUUUCUGUCUGUCAAGAGUGGCAAAAAUCCAUAUCCUACAAUAACCGGCUUUUACUUAUUGAUUUUACGCAGCUUAAAAUGUGUGUUUCUGAAGCAUAAUGAGAUAGAGAUUAAGAUCGAGGGCUUUGAAGUCAAAUGGAUCUAGAUUUGAAACUCAGGGCUGCCACUAACUAGUCCUUAGUUGCAUUUUACUUAUCUUUACCCCAGUACCCACCUCCUGGGGCUGUUGUGAGAAGUAUAUGAAUUAUUGCAUGUAAAAUGGUUAUUAUAAUAUUGAGCAAUAGUAGGGGUUCAAUAAUUGUGAACUACUAUUAUUAUUUUUGUAAUUGUAUAACUCAAAUAUUCUUUCCAAAUUAUUGAUUUUUCUUGGUCUCAGAUAUUGGUUAUAUAUCUAUAUAUAGAUAUCUCUAUAUAUAAUCCUAUACAAAGGAUAUAUAUAUAUAUAUAUAUACACAUACAUAUAUAUACAUGUAUAUAUAUACAUAUAUAUAUAUACACAUACAUAUAUAUACAUGUAUAUAUAUACAUAUAUAUACAUGUAUAUAUACAUAUAUAUGUAUAUAUAUACAUGUAUACACAUAUACAUGUAUAUAUAUGUAUAUAUAUACAUAUAUAUACAUGUGUAUAUAUAUAUAUAUAUAUAUAAAAAACAAGGAUACGUAAGGCAUCAAGCCUUGUUCAACUUUGUUUCCCCAAGAAUCUGCAUGUAAUAAUUGCUAAAUAAAUGUUAAAUUUUAUUCAAUCCACCAUAAAAUGUCUUCGAUUACAAUAUAAAUUUACUAUAAGGCAGAAAUGGCUUAAAUAAAGAAAAGAGAUUGGAUUUCACAUUGAUGUAUUUUAAUUGAAUCACACUAUAUUUUGGGUUUAUCUUCAGUAAGGUCAAACGAAGCAUUCCCUUACCAACUCUUUUGUUAUCGACAUAACAGAAAUCUCACAAGUAUAAGCAAUAAACCAGUAUCCAAGGGCCUCAUUUACUACCAAGAGGCACAUUAGAUGCUUUGAGAUUACUAGCAAAAUACUCCAAAUUAUACUCUGGAAGUCUUAAAGAGUUAAUAUCUCCCUAUAAAAUGCUACCUGGUUUGUUAUCAAGGGAUAAUUUAAACAUUUGGGGAAUCUGUUUAAAUAAUAUCAACAAAACAACGUCAGUACCAAUGAUGUGUGGUCCAGUUCUGUAGAGUAUAAAUCGGGCUGGGAGUUAAGAAAAUCUUUCAGAAAUCGGGGUGAAAAGUUGUCAUUCAAGAAUCAUUAAAAAUGAACAUGCAAGAGACCAUCUCCAAGUAUAGAGUUUACUUAAUAUCUGCAGUGAACUCAACCUAGGGAUCUUUCGAAGUUGUUUCUAUAGACUGAGUUCAAGAUGUUGUCAUAAUGAGUGACUGAUGAGUGACUCUAAGUGAGGCUUAUGCAAAAUACCAGGCCCUCAACUAGAUAAUUUAAAGUCGAACAAAAUCUAAAAGACUGCUUGUUUGGAAGCUAUUGAAUCAUUUUUAAACAUUGAAGGAACCCAAAGUAAACCUACUUAGUGGCUGAGUUUUGGGAUAUAGAUAUGAGUGGAGUUAGAAAACCUUGCCCUUUCCCAAAUUUAUCCAUACUUGCAUCUUUUUCUUUAGAAACACAGUCCUUGUGUUUCCACCUGUACUGAAGCCUUGUCUUGCCCUUUCCCCUUGAACCGGGGUCAAGUCACCAGACUCGAUCGACAACACUGAGCAUCCUGGUAAAGUGGUAGUCCCAGGCCUCCCUCUCCAGGCGAGAGCCAUCCUGUAUUACAAUGGGGCCAUUGGAAAGCAGAUGCAGUCACCAAAACUAUUGCUCCUUGCCCCAUCACAGCAGUCCCAUGUCCGGGUCCUCCCACAUUCCUCACUGCCACAUCUGGGAGCUGAGGAGCAAAUAGAUACUUAGUAGCCUCACAUCUUUCUUCUUAAACUGGCUGUCCUCCGCUUCUUAAAAGAUAUCAAGCAUCCAUUUUGACUCACAUUUCCAUUUCUUACACAGCUCAUAAUCAGAAGCCCAAGCUCAUUUUGUUACCUGUUAUUUUUAUUAUCCAUGGGCCAAAUCCAGCCCACUGCAUGUUUUUGUAAAUAAGGUUUUGUUGGAACACAACCAUGCCUGUUUCUUUACAUACUCUCUAUGGCUGCUUUUACACUAAAACAGCAGAGUUGAAUAGUAAUGAUAAAGGUCAUUUGGCCUGCAAAACGUAAAAUAUUUACUAUAUGACUUUUUUGUGUGAUUUUUUUAAAUUUAUUUAUUUUCACAGAGACUGAGACAGUGUGAGUUGGGGAGGGGCAGAGAGAGAAAGUGAGAGACACAGAAUCCCAAGCAGGCUCCAUGCUGCCAGCGCAGAGGUUGACGCAGGGCUGGAAGCCACAAAACUGCAGGAUCAUGACCUGAGCCGAAACCAAGAGUCGGACACUUAACCGACAGAACCACCCAGGCGCCCCUGUUGUUUUCUUUUUUUUUUUAAUUAUUUUAUUUCACUUUAUUUCAUCAUAAUAAGGGUACUCUUUAAUCCCCAUCCCUACUUCACCCCCCCCCCCCCCCCCCCCCCCCCCCCCCCCUCCCNNNNNNNNNCCCCCCCGCCCCAUCCCCACCUACCUCUCCUCUGGUAACCAUUAGUUCGUCCUCCAUAGUUAAAAGUCUGUCUCUUGGUUUGCCUCUUUCUCUUUUUUUUCCUUUGCUCUUUUGUUUCUUUUUAAAUUUUUUUUUUCAACGUUUAUUUAUUUUUGAGACAGAGAGAGACAGAGCAUGAACGGGGGAGGGUCAGAGAGAGGGAGACACAGAAUCCGAAACAGGCUCCAGGCUCUGAGCUGUCAGCACAGAGCCCGACGCGGGGCUCGAACUCACAGACCGUGAGAUCAUGACCUGAGCCAAAGUCGGCCACUUAACCAACUGAGCCACCCAGGCGCCCCAAGUUUCUUAAAUUUCAUAUAUGAGUGAAAUUAUAUUGUAUUUGUCUUUCUCUGAGUGACUUAUUUUGCUUAGCAUUAUUCCUUCUAGCUCUAUCCACGUUGUUGCAAAUGGCAAGAUUUCGUUGUUAUGGCUGAAUAAUAUUCCAUGGUGUGUGUGUGUGUGUGUGUGUGUGUGUGUGUGUGUGUGUGUAUACAACAUCUUUUUUAUCCAUUUAUCUAUCGAUGGACACUGAGGCUGCUUCCACUGUUUGGCUAUUACAAAUAAUACUGUAUAAUACUGUAAUAAACAUAGGGGUAUAUGUAUCCCUUUAAAUUAGUUUUUUGUAUUUUUUGGUUAAACACCCAGUAGUCCAAUUACUGGAUCAUAGAAUGGUUCUAUUUAAAAAAAAAUUUUUUUUAACGUUUAUUUACUUUUGAGAGAGAGACAGAAUGCAAGAGGGGAGGGACACAGAGAGGGAGACACAGAAUCUAAAGCACGCUCCAGGCUCUGAGCUGUCAGCACUGAGCCUGACGCGGGGUUCCUACUGACGAACCGCAAGAUCAUGACCUGAUCUGAAAUCAGACGCUUUAACCAACUGAGCCAUUCAGGUGCCCCUCUAUUUUUAACUUUUUGAGGGACCUCCACACUGUCUUCCACAGUGGCUGUACCAGUUUUCAUUCCCACCAGUGGUGCACAGGGGCUCCUUUUUCUCCACAUCUUCACCACCAUCUGUUGUUUCUUGAUUUUUUUUUUUUAUUUUAGCCAUUUUGACAGGAUAUCGGGGUGAUAUCUCAUUAUAGUUUUGGUUUGCAUUUCCCUGAUGAUGAGUGAUGUUGAGGAUCUUUUCAUGUAUCUGUUGGCCAUCUGGAUGGCUUCUUUGGAGACAUGUCUGUUCAUAUUUUCUGCCCAUUUUUUAAUUGGAUUAUUUGUUUUUUGGGUGUUGAGUUGUAUCAGUUCCUUAUACAUUUUGGAUACUAACCGUUUAUCAGAUACAUCAUUUGCAAAUAUCUUCUCCCUUUCGGGAGGUUGCCUUUUAGUUUUGCUGACUGUUUCCUUUGCUGUGCAGAAGCUUCUUAUUUUGGGCCCUUUUGUAGAAAAAGUUUGCUGACCUCUACCCUAUCUAUUCAUCCUCAUAAGUGUAUGUCCACUUAUCUGACCCAAUCUCUCACUUCUAUUGCCACCUCAAGCUCUUCCACUCUAAUACAUGGUGCUAACUGUUCAUGAUCAGCAAACUUGUCUUCAUUUUCAACUUCAUUUAUGGAAUGUUCCCUUUGCUCUCUUACCGUAGGUAAAACCUGGAUAUGCCCUGACAAAAUCAUUCCUAAUGCAUUGUAGUCAAGGCAGGCUGUCUGCUUUUACAUCCUCUGUAACUACAGGGCUGAUCCUGGAAUGAGUGUUCUUGCUUUUCAGUGACAUUUGCAAAUCUAUUCUCUUCCCUCAUCCAUCCAAACGCCCAGCUCUUUGAAGUUUGUGUCAUCAGACUUUGUCACCUACUACCCCUCCUCGUUGUUGUCAUCUAGAGAACUUGGUUGCCUUCUUAUUUGAUACCUUUAGCCCAUGGCUCAUUGUCUUUUUAUUAUUCUGCCAUUAUUCUCACAGACUUCCUUCUUACUGACUUCAGCACCAUCUAACACUUCAGACUCUGGGUUUCUGGACUUCCCUCCCUUCAUUCCCUUCUCUCUGCUGUCCUCUCUUACCUGGCUGAACUUUAACUCUGGUUACACCCACUAGUCCCUGCGCACCAAAAUAAACUGAAGACUGAUGAAGACACAAUAACUAUGCUGGCCAAUGUCACUUUAAAUUCUGGCUAUAUAUCUCAAAUGGGUAGUUAGAUUAGUCAGGAUUUUCCAGAGAAACAGACCGAUAGAAGAUGAUUAAUGGAUGGCUCAAUCAAUAGAUAGAUUUAUUAUAAGGAAUUGGCUCAUGUAAUUAUGGAGUCUAAGAUCUGUAGUCAGCAAACGCGACACCCAGAGAGUGAAUGGUAUAAUUCCAGCCCAUGCCUGGGCGCCUGGGACCAGAAAAACCAAUGAUGUAAGUUCCAGUCUUAAUCUGAAGGAAGAAGACUGAUGUCUCAGCUCCAAGACAGUACGGCUGAUUGAGCGAAUUCUCCCUUGCUCAUCUUUUUUUGUUCUAUUCAGGUCUUCAGUGGGUUGGAUAAGGCCUACCCGUUUACUCAGUCUCCCUAUUCAAAUGUUCAUCUCAUCCAGAAAUACCCUCACAGGCCCACUCAGAAUAAUGUUUAGCCAAAUAUCUGGGUACCUCAUGGCCCAGUGAAGCUGACGUAAAAAGUUAACCAUUGCAGUAGUCAAGAACGGUCUUCCUUCUUCCACAGGACUGUUGCAUUCCCAGUUUCCAAAAUGAUCAUUCCACAUCUUGUCUUUACUCCUUAAGUCUCCUAAUCUCUUUUCCUCUCCAUACUCUCAGCAUGUAACAUCAUUUCAUAAAUCAAGAGAAAAUGGAGGUAAUCCAAGAAGAAUUCCCUCCCCCUCUCAACCUAAAACUCUCUGCCCAUCUUGCUCUAAACCUGUUCUCUGCCUGCCUUGUUUUAUUAUGGAGCAAGUGUCUCUGCUGCUCUGACUGGUGCGCCCUACCAUUUGUGCUCUGAAUCCCCAUCCCCCUCACCUUCUCGAAGGCUUGGUUUCUCAAUUAUGUCUUCAUCCUCUUCUGAAUCCUCACUUCUUUACUCAGUUACUCCCACUGUCAUAAACCACUUCUAGUAACUCCUUUCUUCUUUUUUUUUUUUUAAUUUUUUUUUCAUGUCUAUUUAUUUUAGAGAGAGACAGAGUACAAGCAGGGCAAGGGCAGAGAGACAGGGAGACACAGAAUCCGAAGCAGGCCACAGGCUCAGAACUGUCAGCACAGAGCCCAAUGUGGGGCUCAAACCUACAAACUGUGAGAUCAUGGCCAUGAUCUCAUUUAAAAGUAGUUACACAGUUAUUCUCCAUCUUAUCAUUCUACUUGAAGUCUCUAUAUUGCAUGUGUCACUCCCUUAUAUGUGUAUAUGUUGAUGGAGUUUACUGUUUUCCCCCCAUCAAUAAAUAUGAUUUGUGAAAACAGUUCUCUUUUUGUCUCCGUAUUAUCCGCAUAUAUGACAGACAGAGAGUCCUCAGUAAUGAUUCUUAUGAGUGAUUGCAUGCACUAUUUCCUUCUUUUUCCAUUUCUACUCCUAGACCAUAAAAUUCUCAAGGGUAAGGACUUUGUCCUGUCUUCUAUGUGUUUGUAGUUGGUUUCAUAAAUGCUUGUUGAAUGAGUGAGUGAAUCAUUGAUAUAAAUGAGCAAUAACCUAAAGAUAAAAGUUAUUAAUAUGAUGUUCUACUUUUAAAAUUUGCAUUGGCAUUUUUACUUGAAAAAAAUCAGAAUGAUUUCUUUUAGGGUUAUACUAAUUCCUUUUAAACUGCUGCUAAUUUGUGUGACUUAUCCAUAUGCAUCUAAAUUAAUUUUUCUAACUUUAACUCAGGCUUAUAAAUAAAUAAGUAUACAUAUAUGUAUGUAGAUGGAUGGCUAUAUAUACACCUACCCACACAUAUAUAAAACAUAUGUUAGUCCUGUUCUAAGAAUCUGCCAAACUCUCAUGGUAAGACUUGCCAAUUGCAGUCAUGUGACGGGAUGACAGUUCUCUUCUCUGGGAGAAGUCCAGACUUCCAGUGUCUGGGACAGAAAUAAUAUAGACCAAGAAACAUAUAUAGCUGAUGAGGGAUGAUUUUUGGCUCCCAUAAUGUGAGGUUUGGUCUUCUUAUUGGGAGACUUUGAAAAUCAUUAGACCAGAAAUCAUUUUUUUUAUUCCUACAAGCCAAAAUUUUUCCUUCUUGUAUUUCUUGAUGCAGGCAUACCGCAAAGACAGUCUUCCUGGUCAGUAUGGGUUUAGACUAAACUCUGCCACUGGAUGAUAGCAUGAGAUCUUUUGCCAGUGCAGCUGCCUCAUUUUUAUCAGCAUAGUAAAUAUGUAUCCAGCUAUACUCAGUUACAGAUACUUUCCUGUUGUCAAUAAUGUAGGACUGCUGAGGAGUAAAGAUGUUUUCAUUCUUAGGCAGAAUUGAUUCAGAGGAGAUAACUGGGACACUUCACUGCUAGCCUUAUGCACACAGAGGAGGUAACAGUAAGGAGUGCUUUCAGCUGCAGCCAACAAAAGAAUCAGCUAGCAGUGGUUUCAACAAAGUUAGACUCAAGUGGCUUCAUGACAGUAAGGCUGCCAUGUCUGCAGUUCUGCUGGCCUUCCCUUCAAAGUCAAACGAUGACUGUAACAUAGAAUGUGUCCGGUGCACUUGGGCUAACAAAGAAAGUGUUUCAGUGCAGGAAGCAGGGUGUGGUCUGUGCCAGUGCAUUUCUUCCUGUAUACUAAUCAAGGAGAGAAAACCAUUCAACACCAUUCAAAACCAUUCUCUUUACAUUUUACUGGCUACAAAUUGGUCUCCUGACAGUCCUUAGACCCACGGCUAGAGCCACCUUUUCUGAGAACUGGGGAUCGUUGCCUGAUUCCUGAACAGAUUUGGGGUUUGAUUUCAAAAAAUAAAAUGGGAAUGGCUUUUGCGUGGGUAAAGAGUAGUGCCUUCCACAGAGGGCUACCAAGACCAUUCAUGCUUAUGAAGGAAAUAAUGCUUAUGUGGAAUUGUGAAUUCAGGUAGAAGUUGACCAGGCAAAUAAAGUUUAGAAAGGUUGAAAAGGACAAGAAAGAAACUUCCGCGAGUGUAUGGAACAAAGAAGUGCAAAAAAUGAAAUAUAGCUGGUCGUUCUAUACGAGUAGAAUAAUGAGAGGAGAGACUACAGAGUUUGGCAGGAGUCGUGUCAUGGAGGCAGUGUGGGAGCAGGAAGGCAAGUUCUCACACCUCCAGGCAUUCAUUCUGAGGUUGCUAAAGUAGCGAAUAAAUACCAGUCUGGGUUUUCCCUUCAUAUGUGGCUACAAAAAUCCAGACUUUUAAGGACAACACUGUGAUCUCCCUAUUUUGAAGUAGAAAAGUAAGAGCAGUCAUUACUUAAGAUAUCUUGCUGUGCACUCUCUCUCUCCUCUCUCUCUCUCUGUCUCUCUCUCUCUCUCUCUCUCUGUCUGCUUAACUAAGUCUUACCUGGAGAUUUUUUAGCUGUUUGCUGAACCGGAUGGUGUUCACUGGUUAUGGAGACUCAGAGGAUUUUCCAGCUAUAUUACCUCUACUAAAUCUUUGGGGAAAAAAAUAGCUGAAUGCUUGGAGUGAGACCCAUCCUGCUACUUUGAUCAUUGUUGAUUCGACCAAGGGAUCAGUACCUGAGCCCAAAGCUGCCCGAUAGGAAUGUACCUUGUUGGGUAAUAACAGACCAAUAUAAUCACAUCUUCUCACAGUGGGAAAGCUAACAGAGUGAGGCAUGGAUGCCAGAAAGGUCAAUAACAGAGACAGGAUGUGGAGGAGGAAGGAGUAUGGAGAGAGAGAGAGAGCUAUAGAGAGAAUAAGAGAAGGGGAAAUUGAGCAAUAGCAGAGUUCUGGCUAUAAACACAGUAAGUCUUUGUUUUUGUUUGUUUUUUGUUUGUUCCAUAUUUUUAAAGUUUUAAUUUUAAUUCCAGUAUAGUUAACAUAGAAUGCUGUAUUCGUUUCAGUUGUACAAUAUGGUGAUUCAACAAUUCCAUACAUUGCCAGGUGCGCAUCAGGACAAGUGUACUCUUUAAUCCCUAUCACCUAUUUCACCCAUCCUCCCACCCACCUCCCCUCUGGUGAUCAUCUAUUUGUUCUUUAGUGUUUAACACAGUGAGUCUUUGAUCUUGCAAACUGGGUGAAGAAACCGACAGAGGAAGUACCAACCAUUGGGGCGGCUGGGUGUUUCAGUUGGUUAAGUGGACAACUUCAGCUCAGGUCACGAUCUCGCGGUUUGUGAGUUCGAGCCCAGCGUCAGGCUGGCUGCUAUCCGUGUAGAGCCCACUUCAGAUACAUUGUCCCCCUCUUUCUCUCUGCCCCUUCCCUGCUCAUACUUUCUCUCUCUCUCUCAAAAAUAAGUAAACAUUUAAAAAAAAAAAGUAUCAACUACUGAACAGUUCUUUAGUGAAUCUGGAUCAUAUUAUCAUCAUCAUGAUCAUCAGAGCCUGGGAAUAAUUGAGUCUAUUUUCAAAAUGCAAUGGAAUUCUGUUGCCCCAAAUAAUAUAAUAUAUUUGGAUAAAAUUAUUGAUGAAGGCUGCAAUCAUACAUUAUUUUGAAUGGAUUUGAGUUACCCUCUACCUUCCAGGGUAAGUAUCUAAGGUGUGAGGUCUUCAAGAACAGUCAUGGCAGUGUUUCUUUUCUUGUGGUUAAUUUUUCAUAGAGAAGCCUUUUGUUCUUUUUUGGGUAGUUCUGAAUAAGAAAACAAGAGUCCAAAUGGAGCCAGGUAAUCACAGAGGCAACAAGAGAAACAGAAAAAAAAAUGUUUAACUGUUAGAAAUUCAGGGCCAGAAGAGACAUGUUUCAUGGGUCUACCGAGCUGGGAAUAUGGUCUGAAGUGACAAUAAAGCAGACUGGAGAACAGGAAAGAAACUUCUAGAGAAAGUAGGCAACAGGGACCUGUUCCAGUUGAAGCAUGUCUUUAUGUCUCCUAGAAUGGUAGUUCUCUGUGGUGGUUACUCUCUAGAACAACCUGAAGAACAUUUGAAAACACAUUUCCAGAGCUUUCGCAAAUCCUGCUGAAUCAUAAGCACCUUCCCAUGAGGCUUUCACCUGUCCACAGUGAAAAUAUCCAUAUAAUGAUGGCAAUAGUGCUUUCUUGAAAGGGACUGUCUUUAGUUCUCAGACCAUGGCCAUCUUAAUUUUUAAUUUUAUGGUGAUCACCUAUUCUUCCUUUUAUGAAAUUAUUGUGAUAAAAGAUGCUACUUCAAAAAAGGUUCUUAGCAAAAUAAAAAUUAGCUAAACUGUUGUUCAGUUUUGACCUUGGGUAAUUUACCAGGACUUAAAAUCUGAGUGAUAACAUGUAACAGCGUGGUUUUGUACAGAUAAAAUGAGAGAAUGAAUAGAAUAUGCUUGGUACAUAAAUACUGAAGAUGUCCUGUGUUAUCCGGUGAGAUACUUAGGUUUGCAAAAUUUGACUCCCACUGCUUAAGCAGUAAAGUUGAUUUAUUGUUCCAGGUAAGUGAAAAGUGUAGAUCUUGUGGUGGGCCUCAGGUAUUGUUUACACAGGACUCUGGUUUUACUUCCCUGUGAUUCUUUCUGUUUUGCCCUCUUCUGUAUUUUGGUGUUGCCUCUGGACUAGCUUCUCAAAGUGGCUGCCAGGAUCCACAUAGUGCGAGAGAAUGCUGUUCCUGAAACCAGUAACGGAAGUACAGUCCUAAGGAGAUGGGACCACCCCUCAGCCAUGACUGCAGUCAGGGAGUCCCAUACAUUGACUCAGUCAGCCCUCUCAGUUAGCCUCAGUUAGCCUGUUCCUUAACACAGCGGGACCAGUCCUUGAAGCUGGAGAUGCUGUAAAUCCCAUAAAAGCCACCUGCACACAGUGGGCAGGAGAAAAAUUAAAGUUGGAAGAAUUCCCACAAUCCCUCUCCAUAGCCGUAGUCCCAAUAUACUUGCUGACUGCAUACAGCAGCCCCCUUCACAUACACUUCCUGCCUGCUAUAAAGCACUUGAGUUAAAAUGAAAGAAGCUGCCAACAUUGCCUUUAAGGAAAAUGUUAUUCGCUUUAUUUCAUACUUAGAAGUACUAAAAUGUUGCUACUGAAGUUUGAAAGCUAUGGAAAAUUAGAAGAGGAAAAACAGGUUCUUAGCCUAUCAGAGAAGAUAACCAUCUUUAAAAUGUAGUGUCUUAUCAUUGUCUUUCUCUUAUGUGUGUGUAUGUUGUACAUUACAUACAAGUUUUUUAUGUUUAUAGUUUGCUAUAAAUUGAGUUUUAAACGAAUAUAUAUAUAUAUUUUUUUCUUGAGUGUAAGAGAAAUAUCUAGUCAGGUUUUUUAAAUGGGAACAUUGAGAAGUGUGAAAAGAAAAGGAAGGAAGGAACGAAAAAAAAUAGUAACCUUAUUGAGAUACCAUUUCUAUUUUUCAGUGUGCAUCAAAUAUUUGCUCUAUGUAGUUGAGGUAGAGCUAUUUAUACCUGUGUUUUAAGCAUAAUUAACAAAGAAAUGCUCAUUUGUCUUAGAUGACAGAUAAUAUUUACCACUGGAUGGUUUAUUAGUCUUUCCCCAUUAAAAAAAAAAUGACUCAGGUAAUCAAUAUGACUUUUAAAGAUGUGGAAACUUAUAACUCAAGCUUCUUAGUAAUGAAAAUGACCACUAUUGCUGUAUGUAGUCCUGUUUUGUAGAAAAGAGGAAAGGGGCUUGUGUAUGAUAAUUGUCUCAGUGUGGUUCACAACUUAGUGAACAGUUUAGCCAUUUUUGUCUCUUAAUUUUUUUUUUAAUCAAAGCAGUAUGUGCAUAUAAUUCUAAAAGACAAGUACAGACACAGAAGCCUUCUCCUCUACCUCUUCUGGGGGACCCCACCCCUCCCAUGUCAUCGCCAGAGCAAUAACCACUUUGAGUUAUUUUAACUGUGCCUUGUAGAUGCUGCCGUCUUGUUUCUUGAUGCUUUUAGUGCCGUUUACAAUUACUGGCUUUGGACAUUACUAAUUACUUCCCAGCUCUAACAGAUGAGGAUUUCGCACUCUCUCAUGGCUCCCAUCCUCCAAAUAUUUUUACAUCACACUUUUUGGUUAAGUCAACAUAAAUUGUUUGUAUUGUCUUGUCCAUAUAAAUAUUCUUUAUAGAUGAAUAAGUAAUUUAUUACGUUACAUUUCUUUUUUUUUUCCUAUAACUUUGGUUUCCUGAGUUAUUUAUCAUCUAGUUUCGUUGUUGUUAUGUUUGUUUCAUGUUCUGUACAUCUAGCAUUCCUCCCCAAAAUCUUAAUAUUAAUUUUUUUUUAAUUUUUUUUUAACGUUUUUUAUUUAUUUUUGAGACAGAGAGAGACAGAGCAUGAACGGGGGAGGGGCAGAGAGAGAGGGAGACACAGAAUCAGAAGCAGGCUCCAGGCUCUGAGCCGUCAGCCCAGAGCCCGACGCGGGGCUCGAACUCACAGACCGUGAGAUCGUGACCUGAGCUGAAGUCGGACGCUUAACCGACUGAGCCACCCAGGUGCCCCAAUAUUAAUUUUUAAAAAUUGAACUAUCCUACUGAAAUGAAAAACAUUUCAAUAGAGCCAAACAUAUCAAGUUCUCUUUGCUUUACUUGCUAAUUUUUUUUGUGCUGUCCCCUCACCCCUCUGCCUUCCUGACAGAUGGACUUUUUUCUAGGCACCCUGCAUACCUGUCAUUGUGAGAAUUUCCCUUGUCACUCUUUUUUGUUGACUAUUUUCUGAACCUAAGAUUUCCCCUCUUUCCUUGCCCUCAUAUUUGUAGAGCAAACCAAACAUCAGAGGGCUCUUUUUGGAGAACUUGCUUGAUAAAUUUUUAUUCACUCACAUUCAAUAGAUAGUUUGGAUAGGUAAAUAAUUCAAGGAAGGCUAGACAUUUUCUCAUGGUACGUUAAAGGCAUUCCCCCCCUUUUCUGGCAUUUUGGGUUUGCACUUACCUUUCCUUGAAUGUGAUCUCUGCUUUGUCUCUGGAAGUACUUACACCUAACAGAGGUGUUCUGAAAUCUUACCAUUCCAUGCUUGGAUGCCUCUCUCUUUUCAUUCAUUGUACCAAGAACUCAUUGGGAACAUGUUCACAAGUAACAGGAUAUUUUCUUAUAUUAUUUCUUUAAUAUUUCCUCUUAAAAAUUUGUGUGUGCUCUAUCUCUAUCUCAUUCUCUUUCUGGAAUUCUUUUUGUCCUGAUUGUGAACCUCCUGUGUUGCAUGCUUGAUUUUCUUUUUUUUCCCUCUCCUGUGAUUAGUCUUUUUGCCUUUUAUACUAUUUUUAAAAAUUCCUGUAUAAUAAACAUACUGUGUUAUAGUAAUUUCAGGUGUACAACACAGUGAUUCAAGAAUUAUUUUUUUUUCUAAGUAUGUUUAUUUAUUUUGAGAGAGAGAGAGAGAGAGAGAGAGAGCGCUAGCGAGGAGGGGAGGGGCAGAGACAGAAGGAGAGAAAGAAUCCUAAGCAGGCUCUGCACCAGCAGCAUGGAGCCUGACAUGGGGAUCUCACAAACGGUGAGGUCAUAACCUGAGCUGAAACCAAGAGACACGGUAGCUUAACUGACUGAGCCACCCAGAUGUCCUGUGAUUCAAGAAUUCUAUCCGGGCACCUGGGUGGCUCAGUCAGUUGGGUGUCUAACUUCAGCUCAGGUCAUGAUGUCAUGGUUUGUGGGUUCAAGCCCCAUGUUGGGCUCUGUGCUGACAGCACGGAACCUGGAGCCUACUUUGGAAUAUGUGUCUCCCUCUCUCUGCCCCUUCCCCACUCACACUCUGUCUCUCUCUGUCUCAAAAAUAAAUAAAUGUUAAAAAAAAAAAAAAGGAAUUCUAUCCAUUACUCAAUGCUCAUCACAAGUGCCCUCCUUAAUCCCCAUCACCUAUUUCACCCAUUACCCCCCCCCCCCCCCCCCCCCCCCCCCCCCCCACCUCCCCUCCGUUAACCACCAGUUUGUUCUCUAUAGUUAAGUCUGUGGGGUUUUUUGUCUCCUUUUUUUCUCUGUUUGUUUUGUUUCUUAAAUUCCACAUGUGAAUGAAAUCUUACUGUGUUUGUCUUUCUCUCACUGAUUUCUUUAGCUUAGCAUUAUGCCCUCUAGAUCCAUCCAUGUUUUUGAAAAUGGCAAGAUUUCAUUCUUUUCUAUGGCUGAGUGAUACUCCAUUGUCCUUUGAUACUAUUUUUUCCUGGGUGACUUCCUCAACUUUAUAUUCUAAACAUUCUGUUAACUUAAAAUUUUUCUGCUGACAUGUUUUUGAAUUUCUGUGAACUUGUAUUCUUUUCUUGCCUUUUUACUACUUUUACUUCAAUGACGUACUUUUCUUGAUUUAUGGAUACGUGAUCUCUCUUAGCUUCCUGAUUAUAUUAUUUAUAGGUUUUUUUUAACACAGUUUUUCAGUCCUCCACAUUUCUCACUCAUCUACAUUAAAUUUUAUCUUUAUAAAAAAUAUUUAUUUCUAUUUUCUGUUUUGGAGAUAGUACUCACAUUCCUAGGGGUAGUUGGCUGUUUGUUCAGAUUCAAGUUAGAAGCCGUUCGCUAAUGGAAGCCCCUUGCACGUGUAUGUGAGGGGUAUGGUUGUUGACUUGAGGCCUUACUACUGCAGGGUGAAAGGAGAAGAUCUUAGCUGUACGAAUCUCAAUAUUUGUCAGUUUUCUACAACUUCUAUAAAAAAAUUACCACAAACUCAGCUACCACAGAUUAAGCCAGCACAAAUUUAUCUCAGAGUUGUGUGGUUCAGAAGCCCAAAAUGGGUCUCACUGGAGUAAAAUCAAGGUGUGAGCAGGUCUGAGGUUCUUUCCAGAAAGUCUAUAGGAGAAUCAGUUCUCUUGCCUUUUCUCCUUUCCAGUGGCUGGCCACAUUCCUUUUUCUCAUUGCCUUCUUCCAUGUUCAAAACCAGCAGUGGUUAGUCAGGUGUUUAUUACAUCUUACCACUCUGACCCUGACUCUCCUGCCUCUCCCACAUUUGAAACACCCUGUGGACUACUUGAGGCCACUCAGCUAAUUUAGGAUAAUCUUCUUAUUUUAAGGUCUACUGAUUAGUAACCUUAAUUCCAUCUGCAACCUUAAUUCCCCCUAGCCAUGUAUGUGUUCACAUGUUUGGGGGAUUAGGACAGGAAUAUCUUUAGGGGGUCACUAUUCUGCCUACCACACAUUUCAGUUUCCUGUCUGAUGAGCUCUUCCAGGAAGAGAGCAAGGAAUAAGGCUGAUAUGUUUUGGCAUUUUAUACAAAUUUUACAUACCCUCCCUGUUUUUUCAAGGGCUCACUUCCCGUUCUGUGGUGUGUAUUGUUUCCCGAUGUGUGGGUUCUCUAUGGUUUAAUUAAUCUGGAAAAUGAAACUCGGGCUCUUGCCAAAGAUGGAAAUCCAUCCAGAAGUAUAAAACCUGCCUAGGAGGGUGAUAGUUUCCUAGAUGGGAGGGAGUGGGGUGGUCAUGUUGUGUGGGUGCUGAAUGGCUUUGCACUAUGGGAUAAGAGGAUGUGGGAUACUAAGAGCUGGGUUUUUUGGUCACUUCCUCAGGCUUUCAAAUAAUCUCUUCUUUUUCAAUUCUAGCCACCACUCCCACCUUUUAGAUACCUCAUGUGUUCCUAAGCCUUCUUAGAAUCCAUCUAUCUGCUUUCCUUCUCCUCCUCUCUUCCAUAAUGCCUCCUCUCUUCCAUAAUGCCUUCUCACAUUAUUUUUCCUCCCAUGGGCUUCUCUCUUCAUCGCUUUGUUUUUAUUUUAGUGAGGUUUUUGGAAGGAUCAGAGAUAAACAAAAGUAAUCAUUAACCAGAAGCUGUUGAUCAUUUUUAAACAAGUGAUAAAACUAGACAACAACAGAUAUUAUUUAAGUUGUCACUAAACAUGGAGAGGGGUUCUGUAUGAACUGAGAGGUACAGAGUUGCAGAUAAACAUUCGUAUCUGGCUAAUUGGAAAAGAAAAUGAAAAAUGAAAAAAAAAAAAAAGGAAAGAACAGAAUAGGGAAGCACUGCAGAUGAAGAUUAUUCCAACACUGUGGAAUCCAUCUGAUACCACAUUUUCGACUGGGUUGAUGAGAGGAAUCCAGACUAAAUAAGAACAACUAUGCAGUUUCUUUCCUAUCAUUACUUCGGCAUUUUUGAAAUCUUAAUUUUGAAUCACCUCUGGGUUCUUGAGAUUAUAAUUCCAGGACAUGAUACUAUCUGAGAUAAGGCACAUCUAAGAAUCCCUUUCUUUGCCCUCAUGCCUGAAAGACAGCUUGUACAAGUAUAAGGAUUUUUAGUAAUUUUUUUCUUUAAAUCUCUUUAGAUAUUUCGCCGUUGUGUGGGGAAGGCGGUGUUAUGCAGGCAUUUCAUGAAGCUGACCUUUUGUUCCUUUCCAUAGAGCCUGCCUAUAUGCUUCUGAGGCAUUUUCUUUUUUCUUGAAAUCAUAAAUGUAAACAAAUUUGAGUUAUAUGCUAUUAAUAGUCUAAAAAUAAUAAACAGUGAAAGUUAUUUUAACAAACAUAUUGACACAUUUUUGAGAUUAGGGUAAAAAAUGCAACAGUGUUAUGAUCGAGGGUGCUUUGUAUCAAAUACAAAUUGUCCUGCUUAAUGAUCUGUCCUAAUUAAAAGCUGUCUUAAUUUUUAAAUGGGAUUCUCUAUGGAUUCACAAGUGGGAUUAUCAAUUAAAGGCCAGUUAAAAGCUGAAUCACUUAAUUAUCUGGAAAUUUCUUACUUUAAAAUUGUUUAAGUCUAUGUAACUAAUUUACCAUCCUUAUUUGAGAAUGUCAAAGCCGUAAAGGCUAGUGUUUACCCUUUCUGUACGAGCUGACAUAUAGGUGGAGCUUUAGGUUUUAUUAUGGAGAGUAGACAUUGGUAAAAUCCUACUUGGCCAUUUUAUAGGCCGAAACACUAUUUCACCUGAUUUAAUUACCACCUUUUCACCUUUUUUUCACUUUGGAGAAAUCCUCUAUUCAAAUCACAAGUGGUACUUUGAUUCUUCCUAAGAAUCAGGGUGUUGUUUCGGGGUGUUAUUUUUAUGAGCUAUCGAGUCCUUAAAGGUAUGGCCAAAUGCCAUUCAUGUCUGUAUUUGCAGGCCAGGCCCAGAAAUUAGCUCGAAAGACCUUGAGUGUGGGUGAACUGUGGAUAAUGUGCAUUGAUAGCAGAGUAUACACUUAAGCCAGGAGUCACAACAGCCUUCCUCCUAUCACUGCAUGUUCCUCUGGCCUCCCCGAGCAGAUAUUCUGACCUCUGGCCUUAGUUGUGAACUUCUUAUCUAGAGGCGUGGAUCGUAAUUGAGCAUACACAGAAUAUUUGCCUUUGGGAGGCCUAUUGCCUGAGCCACCAUGGUACUCUCAACAGCGUAUUUGACAACAUCUUGAGAGUUUGAGGUAAGGGCUAGGAUACCUGUUGUGAAGCUAUGGUAUAGUUGGAUCAACAGCUCAGUAUAAUGCAAGUACUGACAGAGAUGAGAAUGAAGUCAGGUCCUGAAACCUGCUCAGAAGGUGAGAUUUACCUGGAUGGCAGGACUGGAGAACAACAAAACGCAGCAAACAGUGAAUUGCUACAUUCUCUCUGCUCAGAGCGUAAUGAAUUUGGAUUCAUAUGCCCUAAGAGAGUCUUCAUCAUUAUUGAGGCAUUGAAUUUUUAGGGGCAUCACUAUUCUCUUUGUAUUCUCAGGGUGUGUGUGUGUGUGUGUGUGUGUGUGUGUACAUAUAUACCUGUAUAUAUAUGUAUGUGUGUGUGUGUGUGUGUGUGUGUAGUAAAUGGCACUAUAUUUUAUCCCCGUUGAAGAUUUAAAUCUGUUUACUCUUCAUUCUCCAAUGGGGGAUUAUUUUUUUAAGUUUAUUUAUUUUGAGAGAGAGAGUAUGCACACAUGGGGGAGGGGCAGAGAGAUAAUCCCAAGCAGGCUAGGCACUGUUAGCAUGGAGCCCGAUGCUGGCCUGAUGUGGGGCUCCAUGCAGGGCUCGAACUCAUGAACUGUGAGAUCAUCACCUGAGCCAAAAUUGAGAAUCAGAUGCUUAACCAGCUGAGCCACCCAGGCGCCUCACCAAUGGAGAAUUUUUUGAUCAUGGUCUCUGACAAUUCCUUUAAUGAACAAGAGAAGACCUGUAAAGAGCUGGAGUAUUUCAACAACCAUCAACUACACUUGUAAGCAGAAACGUCUAAGGAAUGGCCAGGUCAUUGACUUUACCUAACAGAAACCAAGUAAAUAAAGAGUUAAUCAUCCUAAAUGACACUCUAAAUAUUUGUUUCAGCUUCUGGCCUGGCCACAAGCCUGUGAGAGAUCUGGUUAGUGUUUAGGAAGGGCCUUCCUGAUGGGUGGGAGCAAGCAAUCCUCCUGCCUACUCUCAAUUUGCUCCUCAGCAGACUUCUCCAGUCUUUCCCGGAAGAAUUCCAGGAUUGGGAUGGCUCAGAUUAAUCUAAAUCAUUUGGAAAAGUUUUCAUUCAGGUCCUAACCCCAUGAUGAAAUGUACAUCAAAACUGAAUAUGAUCACAAGUAACAGCCAUGGAAAAAUCCUUAAAUACCUCCUACUCUGGGAUUAUUUCUUUAUGGUACAAGUUGGAAUUAAAGGCAAUCUGUAAAGUUCUUCCAGGCAAUAAGUAAAACAAUAAAAUAAAAAUUCAAAAGAGUAAGUAAAAAAUAAGGAAUCUCUUUCAAAUUCCUCCCAGAAUUAUCCUAUUUAUGUGUGCCAGGGGUCUCCUGUGUAUAGCUUCCAAACUCUAUGGCAUCGAUAUUCCUGGUAACUAAUCUAUAAAUGUUACUCAAUCCAAUGCAUUUAUAAAUAAAUAGCUAACAUACAUUACUUCUAGGUGGCAGUCAUAGUUCUACGUGCUUUGCCUAUAUUGACUACUCAAUCCCGUUAUUCCUAUUUAAGAAAUGAGGCACAGAAAGGAUAGUAACUUUCUCAAGGUGGCACAGGUAGAAUGCAGAAGAACUAAGAUCCAGUCCCAGGCAAUCUGCUUCAUCACACACAGUAAUACCUCUCUAAAAAUUGUAAUUUGGUACCCAUAUUUAUUCAAUCCUGUAAUUUUAAAUGGAGUUUCCUGAAUGGAGGUGGAAAGCAAAGGAGAGCUGUUCAAAACGGUUAGGAUCAAAUGUCAUACUGCUGUGUUCAUUUAAAACAAACAUCUUCACAUUCCUCAUGAGUACAAAGUAAUGUGUCCUCACCCAGAUAUAUUAAAUUGGGUGCUCCAGAAAUGGAUUUGAGCUCAGAAUCUUUCAUGAUUAUAGAUAAAGUGAAUUGGGAGGACCUUAUCUAAACAAAUUGUUUGGAGCUAAACACAAAGCUCAAAUUAAUGGUACAACCUAGAAAUGCUCUCUGAAAGGCUAAAUCUUUGGAUUUUUAUGCUAUGUGGAAGAGGAGUGGGUUCUGUUAAUAGGACAGACUUCGUGCAACAUAUGUUAAGAAAAAAAAUUGGAAGCACUUAAAAAAACACAAGUUGGAAGCUCAAUCUUGCAAAAAAAAAAAAAAAGAAAAAAAUCCUUAAAAUAUUUUGGAGCUUUUAGGAGAAAGUCAAUAUUAAAAUUAGUAUGAACAUGAGAAAGGGCUUUAUGAGUCGAGUGACUGUUGUUUUUCUAAAUGUCAGCAUGGAAACCCAAACAGAGAGGUGAGUUGGGUCCCUGGAAAGACUGACUGGGAAAGCUGAGUGUUAAGUUUGUGACGUGGUUGAUGGCAACCAAAAAUUGUCAAGUGCAUGAUGACAAAGUAUUUCCUGGAACUGGGGGCAGCUUCAAGACUUAUAAACAGGGAUGAUGUUGUGGGGGCCCGUGCUUUAAACCUGGACGGGAUCUAUAUGUGGCAAUGUAACCAGUGGUUUGAAAUAUGUUCCCAGACAGGGGUCUCUGGAAUUUGGAAGCCAUUCAUAGAUGGUUUGAGCUGAGCUUUGUACUGAAUUGACAAUCUUUGUAUACAGCAGAGGAAAACAACCAACUUUGAAACAUAACCUGCUCCCUGGUUUUAUCUUGACAUCAUGGAAAACAACCAAGGAAAUGUCCUCUGCUUUCAUUUUAAUGUCAUGAUCUUGCAAAUAUAAUACUCAGCUCUUAACAGAGACUAGGACUUACUUCAUUACAGCUUUUAGGGUUUCAUCCUGAAAAUCAUAUUUAAUUGAGUUCUUACCUUUAAUUCAAGAUGGUGUGACCCCCUACUCUAAGGAGAGCAGAGAAGUGUGUUCUAAUUCAAAGUUACAAACCUCUCUACCUUAGUUUUCUCAUCUAUAACAAGAAACCAUUGAGGUGCCUGGGUGGCUCAGUCAAUUGAGCAUCUGACUCUUGAUCUUGGCUCAGGUCAUGAUGUCAUGGUUGGUGGGACUGAGCCCUGCAUGAGGCUGUGCACAUAUCAACAACAACUGAGUUUGACCAUGAAGACAAAAACAACAACAAAACCCCCACAAACUCUUAUAGAAGGUUGAGACCAGUCAUUCUUUUUUUUUUUUCUUUUUAAGUUUAUUUAUUUUGAGAGAAAGCAAGAGUGUGCAAGCCUGAGCAGGGGAGGGGCAGAGGGAAAGAGAGAGAGACAGAGAGAGAAUCUCAAGCAGGCUCUGUGAAGUCAGCACAGAGCCUGACUCGGAGCUCAGUUUCACGAACUUUGAGCCACCCAGGCACCCCUAACUUACUUUUUAAUCAACUUACUUUUUUUUUUUUUUUUCAACGUUUAUUUAUUUUUGGGACAGAGAGAGACAGAGCAUGAACGGGGGAGGGGCAGAGAGAGAGGGAGACACAGAAUCGGAAACAGGUUCCAGGCUCCGAGCCAUCAGCCCAGAGCCUGACGCGGGGCUCGAACCCACGGACCGCGAGAUCGUGACCUGGCUGAAGUCGGACGCUUAACCGACUGCGCCACCCAGGCGCCCCUAAUCAACUUACUUUUUAAUCUAACUUUUUCCUAGGAAAUAAUUUCCAUGAAUUACAUAUUAAUAUAAACAAAUUAAUAAAAUAAAAAUUUUAAAUGCCCACAUACCACCUAAAAGUAUCUCAUGAACUAACAGCAUUUAGAAAGUCCUGACAUAAUAUGGGGCUCCCGGGUGGCUUGGUAGGUUAAGCGUCCAACUCUUGAUUUCAGCUCAGGUCAGGUACUCACCGUGAUGAGAUCUAGCUCCCGCAUUGGGCUCUGCCCUGACAAUGCGGAGCCUACUUGGGAUUCUCUUUCCCCCUCUCUCUCUGCCCCUCUCCUGCUCCAGUUCGGGCUUGCUCUCUCUCUCUCUCUCUCUCAUCUCUCAAAAUAAAUAAACUUUAAAAAUAAAGGAAUGACUGGUCUAAGCUUUCUAUGAGAGUUUAUGGAUUUUUUGUUGUUUCCGUCCUCAUGAUCAAAGUCAGUUGUUGAUAUGACCUCCUUAGAGUGGCUAUUAGUUCCAUUAGAAGAGAAGAGAUUAUAUAAUAUAUAGAAUAAUAUGUAAUAUACACACAUGCAUAUUAUAUAUAAAAUACCAGAUAAUAGUAGAUAAAAUAGGUAAUACAUAUACAUAAUUCUCUUAAGUGAAUGUGAUGCCCGAGAAAUUUACCACACUAUAAACUAAAGAAGAAACACUCUGUGAAAACCAGAAAAGAAACUUACCUAGCUUUCCCAGUACACUUCUCCAAAACUGAUUCCCGGCAGAGUUAAGAAAAGCACUUUGCAAAAUAUCUGAAACAGCAGCCUGAAUCGAGUUGUGACUCCUUCUAAAGCCUUGGGUGUUUCUGGCUCAUACCUUACGGUUUAUGUUACCAUUUACAGAAACAAUGAAGUGUUUUUGUUUAAAAGUCUUUCCCCUCUAAUUAAACAGAGAUGGAACUGAGUCAACAAUGGAGUUCUGGAAGCUGACAAACUGAAAAUGUCAAUAAGCUAUUAGAGACAUGCUCUGUCUAAAGAUAUUAGGAAGUUGCAUUGAUCCUGAAUUCUUAAGAAGAGAAAAAGACCUACAGAUCUGAAAGUAGGCCUUAAGAGGACCUGGGAAACCUUAGCCUGAUCAUGUUCUUUCCCCCUUAGCAAACUCUUUCUGACAGUAGGCCGGAAAGAGAAAGCCAGGGCUUGCCAGAGUUUUAGGAAGGAGGAAAAUUCCACACUCCUUUAAUUAUGCAGCAUUUGUAUUCUCUCUAUAGGAUCUCCUACACCUUUUGUAAGGUAGAAAAAAAUGUGUUCAGCAGAAAUCCGUCAGAGCUCAGAAAGCAGAGCAGCCUGGUUGCAGGCAAUGAUUUUGUCUUUUAUGUAUUUUUAUACUUGGGUUGGGGGAGGGAUCCUUUAUCCAUUAACCACAGAGCAGUCUCCACAUCCAUGAAACUUUUACCUAACCCCAUAGAUCUCAUAUUUUAUAGUGAUGGUUGCACAACUUUGUAAAUAUACAAAACCCAGUGAGUUGUAUCCUUUAAAUGGGUGAAUUACAUGGGAUGCGAAUUCUCUCUCAAGAAAGUUGUUAUAAAAAGUGUUAGUGUGUGUAGCACCAGCUGGAAUACAGGUUCUUGAGUUUCAGCCCAAAGGGCAGAAUCUCUAGACGCUGAGUCCAAGCAGCUGUUAUUUAAACAAACGUAUCGAGUGACUUCAGUGAGAUGACCUAAGUCCACACUUUUUAAGGAAAUCUAAGAGAUUAUGUGUUUUGCUACCUCCCUAAACAAGAAGAGAAAUCCUCCUGACGUUCACAAUGACCAAUAAUCGAUAGACGAGUAGCCUUCCUUCAGAAAUCUUAAAUUUGACCCAAUUCUUAAUUCCCCCUUUUGAAUGUGAAUAUUAUCAGUCUUGUAGGGAACCACGAUAAAUUUUUACUGGAGCUAGGUCAGGUGUCCUUUCAGAUAACUUACAUGAACAUUUAACAGGUCACAAAAGAAUUUCUUGUACAUUUUCUUACUGAGUCCUCACAAAGACCCUGUUGAGUUGGAGGAGCCUUCAAAGCCACCCAUCUUUUACAGAUGGGGAAGGGGAGAUUGAGCAAAGUUAAAUGUCUUGCCCAAAACACCUAACAGAAAACUGACCAACCUGCUUGGAUAUCAGGUCUUUUGACUCCUAGUUAACCCUCUUCUCACUAUAAAAACCUGUCUUAAAAAAUGCUUCUUCAGUAUGGCCUUCACUAACCUUUAGAAGCUAUGUUUGAGCACAUUUAUGAAGUUGCUGUCGUUAAUUAUGCUUUAAAAAAUGUGCAUCUUUGGGGCCGCCUAGGUGGCUCAAUUGGUUAAGCAUCUGACUUCGGCUCAGGUCAUGAUCCACAGUUGGGGAGUUCAAGCCCCACAUUGGGCUCUGUGCUGACAGCUCAGAGCCUGGAGCCUGCUUCAGAUUCUGUGUCUCCUUCUCUCUCUGCACCUCCCCCUCUAGCACUCUGUGUCUCUGUCUCUCUAAAAAAUAAACAUUUUCUGUUUAUUAAAAAUGUACAUUUUUUUUUGCUUUGCAGCACAAAAAGAAAAUGCACAACUUAACACAUUUCCCCCCAAUUCUUUGUGGCAGUUUUUGUCUAAAAACUGGAUUAAUGUAAACCAGCAGUGGGGAACACAUGUGAGUGUGUGUGCAUAUGCAUGUGUGUGUGUUGAGAGAGAGAGAAAGAGGAGACAUAUAUUGUGUCUCCGUGUGUUUGUGGAGAGAAGGAUGGAAUAUUAUUUUAACGUGAAAGUAUAAAAUAGGAUCAUUUAUUAAUUUGUAUGUGAACUAUUAAAAGAAACUAACAUGUAUUGGAUAAUUAUUAUGCUAUAAAUCUACUUGGCUCCUGUCCGCAACCCACCCACCCCCUCAUUCCUUAAAGACAUGCUUCUGGCUCAUUGCCUGCUUCACUCAGAUGCCACUGUUUUCCCGAGGUGAAAUAAUGUCCCUUUGAAUAAGCUACAGCCUCUCAAUUCCUUGAUCAUAUGUAUAUUAACCUUUACCUCCACUCCAUUUUAGAUAUCCACCCUGAGGGCAAUGUCAUCACCCUGACUUUGAAAUUUAUUCCGCAGACCCCACUGACCACAGCUGGCUCUAUUUGACAUCAAGGAAUUCUGCCAGCAUCUGGUCAACCCAUUCAUUUCUUUACUUCCUUUCCGGAAAACCUGAGAUUUUGUGUUUAUUUCUUCAGUCCCUACCCUUAUCCAUUCCCAAACUUCCUGGCCCCAUUGUCCUUUUGUUGAAGGCACCUAACGGAAUCUCGACUCAGACAAUCUGGCAUUUCCCUUUCUCUGCGCCUACUGUGGGCCAGCAGCUGUCUGCAGUCCUCUCUCCAACGUCAUCUUGCUUUCAGUGCUGCCUGGAACCCUUCCAGCUCCUUUAGAGUUUUCCCAUUUUCAUCAAAACUUUAAAUACAGUCCCUUGGCCAUGAGACCAAGGAGAUCAACUUUCUUCUUUACAGAGAAAACGGAAGCAUUUUUCAUGGAAAUGUUUUCAACUGAUUAUCUCCAAAUCUAUAAAAUUAGCUGCAUCCCAGAACACAUCUUUUGCUACGGUAAGAUAGGUAUGUCUCUCUUUUACUGAAAGCAGACACUUAUAGUACUCUUCACAUAUCUUUGUCGUCUCCCUCUCUUCUGACUCCUUCGUGUUUCCAAUAAAACAUACCAAAUCUUUCAUAUCUUAAAAUGAAAACAAAACAAAAAAGGCUUUCUUAUCCCUAGGUGCUCUUCAGUCUGCCAUUUUUUUCACUUAGUUGUCAAAUUAAAAGCUUUGGGAUCAUCACUUAUUUCUUCCUUUUCCUCCAUAUACAACUGGUAUGGAGACCCUGCUAUACCCAUUUCCUCAAUAUCUCUUUGUUCAAUGGUAUCCCUUUCCAAUGCAAAGGCCCUGAAUCAACAGAAAUAUGAUGUGAGUCCAAUGUGUAAAAUUUUCUGCGCUCUGGUGGCCACAAAAGUGGAAACAAUGGAAUUAAUUUUAAUGUAUUUUAUUUCAGCCAGUAUGUUAAAAUUGUUUUCAUUUCAGCAUGAGGUCAUGAUUAAAAAUCAUCAGUGAGAUAUUUUACCUGCUGACUUUGGAUUAGCCCCAUUUUAAUAGGCAUAGGCUGCUAAUGCCACCAUAUUGGAUAGUGCAGCCCUAGAUUCUCAUCUCUUGCCUGAGUCCAUCAGGUCUUCGCCGCUGCCAGGAGGAAGCUUCCAGUGGUUUUCUUGCUUCUUGUUGGGGCCCCUUCCCACAUGUUCUGUAUACAACAGCCAGAAUAAUUUUUUUCUCAAAAUAAAAUCUCAUGUUGCUUUCCUGUGUAGAACUCAGCAUGGUUUCUCACAGAUCUCUGUGCAUUUUUGAUAUUUAAAAGGCCCUUGGGGCACCAGGGUGGCUCAGUCGGUUGAGCGUCCGACUUUGGCUCAGGUCAUGAACUCACAGUUCGUGGGUUCGAGCCCCGCAUCGGGCUCUGCGCUGCCAGCUCAGAGCUCAGAGCCUGGAGCCUGCUUCGGAUUCUGUGUCUCCUUCUAUCUCUGCCCCUCCCCCACUUGUGUGCUGUCUCCCGCUGUCUCUCAAAAAUGAGCAAAUGUAAAAAAAAAAAAAAAAAUUAAAAAUUAAAAGGCCCUUGACUAUUUCCCAGCUUCAACUCUUCCUUUUCAUGUUCUACAAUAGAGCAUAUACCCUCCCCACUAAACUUAUUUGUGUUCCUUAAAGCCAUUACGACCUUCUUGAUGGCUAGGUUAUUGCAUAUUCUGUGUCUUCUGCUUGGAAUGCUCUUCAUCCUCCAAUCCUCACUCCUCUCCAAUAGGUUAACUGCUGUGCAUACUUCACACAUCUACAAAAACCUUCCUUCAUGUCCUAGAACUGGACUAUGGGGUCUUCCUGUGUAUUCACAUGCAACUCUUAGUUUCUUCCAUCAUAUCCUUUAUUACACUAUUGCUACUUUCUUUAUAUUUGGCAGCCUCCCCAAGGAAUAGAACAGGGACAGCACUUGGUCAUUUUUUUUUUUUUUAUCCCUAGCUCCACGCAUAGUGCAUGGCAUAUGGUAGGUGAUCAGUAGAUGCUCACUGAAUAAAUGAAGGAGCAAAUGAAUAAAUACAAUCUUUUUUAGUACCAGAGAAGAAAAAAGAGAACAUUUCCUGUUUGUAAAUUCUCCUGUGAUUUAAAAGUAUUUGUGUGUCUUGUCUUUUCCUGAUUCCUUGGACCUCCACUAAUUUCCAGAUGAACUUGCUUCAAAACAAAUCGUUUAUUUAAAGCAGGUAUUAAAAGGCAAAGAGCAUGAAAUAGCCCUUUUACUAGAAGAAAGACAGGAAAACUUCCCACAGAGAAUAACGGUGAAUUGCAUAGCAUAUAUUAACAAUUAUCGUUCGAUUUUGUAGUGAAAUAACUGUUAAUAAUGUUAAUCAAUGACUUCCCUGUCACUAAAUCUAAUGGACAUUUUAUUUAUUUUUUAUUUAUUUAAGCGUUUAUUUAGUUUUGAAAUAGAGAAAGAGAGAGAGAGUGAACGUGAGUUGCGGGGGGCGGGGGGGCAAAGACAGAGGGAGACGCAGAAUCCAAAGCAGGCUCUAGGCUCUGAGCUGUUAGCACAGAGCCUGACCAGGACACGGGACUCAAACUCACAAACUGCAAGAUCAUGACCUGAGCUGAAGUCGGACGCUUAACCGACUGAGCCACCCAGGCCCCCUCGGGUGGGCAUUUUAAAUCUUUGAUAGCUUACCUGAUUUCACAGGUGAUGGUAUUUGAAAACCAGAUAUCUGAAACCUCACUCCGCUACCUUUCCUUCUGUCUCCCUGGCUCUUCCUUUUCAUUCUCCUUUCUCCGACCUUACCUGUUAGAGUUCCUGAAAGCCAGAUCUUCAGUCCCUUUGUCCCAUUCUCAACUCUGUCCCUAUUUAGUCCCAUCCAGUCCCUGACUUUCUUUUCUCUAUACUAGUGUUUCUCAGGUAUAUAUUUCAGUGCCAAACCUCUGGUCUCCAAAUCCAGCAUCUAACUAUCUACUCAAGAUCUCCCUUUGGAGAGAUGACUAUACUUCAAAUUGAACAAAAUAACAAUAGAAUUAAUGAUCGCCUAUAAAACUCACUCUCCCUCCAGUGUAUUCUGUUUUAUUGAACGAUACUAUCAUGCACAUAAUUACUCAAGCCAGAGCCCUGGGAGUCAUCUUAGAUACCUCCUUCUCUCAUAAUCCAUAUUUCAAAUAUCUCCCUAAGUCAAGCAACACAUAGUGAAUUAAUGUUAGGAAUAUUUUACAUUUAUAAACAUACAGGGUUCUUAAAGUAAAUAUGUAUUACAUGUUACAUAUUAUUAUUAUAUAUAAUAUUGAUAUUAUAUAUUUAUAUAAUAUUAUAUAUAUAUAUAUAUAUAUAAUUGCUUUUUUUUUUGCAGAGGUAUGGAGUUUUUUCUGGGGGGUCCACACAACAUUUAUCUAAAUGCUGUUAAGGGUAGAGGAUUUUUAUUAUCCUUUCUGCCCUCUUGUAUAUCAGGGGAAAACUUUUAGUUUCCCAAGGGAGGAUAAGGGCAACGUCAUAGGUGACAUCUUAAUUUUUUUUUUUUAACGUUUAUUUAUUUUUGAGAGACAGACAGAUCAUGAGCAGGACAGGGGCAGAGAGAGAGGGAGACACAGAAUCCAAAGCAGGCUCCAGGCUCUGAGCUGUCAGCACAGAGCCCGAUGCAGGGCUCGAACUCACAAACCGUGAGAUCAUGACCUGAGCCGAAAUCAGAUGCUUAAGCGACUGAGCCACCCAGGCACCCCAUAGAUGACAUCUUUUUUGUUAGCCAAGAGGGACAAGAAAUAUGAGCACUUUGGAUACCAGUUAACACUUACAUCCCAUUUCUCAUUUUUUUAAAUUUUUUUUUUUCAACGUUUAUUUAUUUUUGGGACAGAGAGAGACAGAGCAUGAACAGGGGAGGGGCAGAGAGAGAGAGGGAGACACAGAAUCGGAAACAGGCUCCAGGCUCUGAGCCAUCAGCCCAGGGCCCGACGCGGGGCUUGAACUCACGGACCGCGAGAUCGUGACCUGGCUGAAGUCGGACGCUUAACCGACUGCGCCACCCAGGCACCCCCAUUUCUCAUUUUUUUUAAGGAGUUUGUAACAUAAUAACCAAAGUCUAGAAUUGGAGGGGAGCAGCAGGAAGUACAGUCUUUGGAUAGUUAAAGUACAGAAGAACUCCUGAGAAAGAAUAUUUCAUUUUGUUGUAAUUGCCUUCGUCUCCAUUUCCCUUUGGGUGAUAUACAAGCCAGGAAGUUCUGUAUUCUUUCUUUACCUGGAAUUAAUAAAACAGAAGAUCACUGGCCACCAUUCAGCUUGUCUGAGUCCAACCUUAUUGGCAGGGCUCUGAACGCCCCAACAUAGUGUUACAACACUGCUUGUAUCAAAGUCAGUCUCUUUGGGUCACAUGGGCAGCAUAUGUCUAUGUGCUUACCUGUGUUCUGGGAAGAAUAAUUCUUUUUAGUAACUAGAACUUAGCUUCUAUUGUGAGAAAGAGAGGUUCCAAAUCAAACAUGAAGAAAGUUUCUCUCUCCUAAAAGUCUGGAUGCAGAGAGCACAGGAUGACUACUCAGUUGUUAGGGAUCCAGGCUGCUCCCAUCUUCCCAGGUGUGGACUUGACCUUUCAACCUUCACUUUUCUCCAACCCUCACUUAGCUACAUUUAGCCAUGAGGGUAAGGUCUAGCUAAGAGGAUGUGAGGGGAAAUGAUGUUUGUUUACAACUUCUGGCAUGUGUCCCUAAAGGAGGACAAUUUGCCUCUUCCUUCAUACUACUGUUUGGGAGGGUAGGAGAUGUCAUUGUUUCUGGCCCUCAUAGGUCCAGCUAAAAGUCAGGACGUUUAUUAUAGAAAGGAGAACAGCAGCCUUUGGCACGUGCAUAGAAAACAUCUAUUCAGCCUGGGGAUACAGAUUGAAGGGUGAGGUAGGCUUGGUUUGACUUCUGCUUUCAGCAUCUGUACCUGUGUGAACUUGGGCAAGUUCGGAUGUUCUUGUUUGUUUCUUCCUUCAAUACUCCACGCAAAACUCCAUUGUAGAAUCCGUCAGGUCUCGUUGCAACCUACGUUUGUGUUCCCCUGUGCUUCGUUCAGUGCCCAGCCAUGGCUUGCACUUCCUAUUCUUGUAACGGUCAUGGGAGACAGUAGAUUCCCUAUCUGUGUCACAACUAUUUGCUCCUUUCCUUCUAUUUUCACUGCUUUCAUCCUCCACUUUCUUUCUUUUGUGUACCAUCUGUUUUCUCUUUGGAUUAGGUAUGCGGGAUGCAUGUAUAAUGCCCCUCUGGCACAUUAAUCCCAUUCCACUGUUAACAUGUUCCAUUCCUUUAUAAGCCCCUCCCCCUCCCACUUUUUAAAACCUUAUUAAGGUAUAUAUAAUUUACAAAUCAUAAAAUUCACACAUUUUAACUGUACAAUUAAGUAAUUUGGGGUAGUUUUACUGAGUUGUAUAACCAUCAUCAUGAUCCAAUUUUAGAAUGUUUCAGAAUAUCUUCCUUACCCCAAUAGAAUCCCUUGUGCCCAUUUACUCUUAAACACCAUUUUUUAGAAACAAGAAAAGAAAAAGCAGCUUCCUACUUGAAAUGGUAAGCCAGAAUGUAUUAUAUGACUAUUGAGAACUUAGUGACUGUUAGUGCUAUGGAGACUUCUUAUAGAAUAAAAUAUAAUACCUAAUAUCAAGGGGGGAGCUAGUUGGCAAGAUCAGACCUCCAAGACCACCGUAAGAAGUAUGUAUCCUAUUUCCAGCUUUUGUGAAUAGGCCAGUAGUAUAAGACUACAAAACUUAUCGUGAACAGAUUAUCUGAAUUUGGAAAAAUCUCUCAGACCCCAUACAGAUAUUUUUUUCUCCUUCCAGUUUUAAAACACCCUUUCUUAAACUGACUGACCAUUGAUAGUUUCCAGAAGUAUGGGCUUUUUCUAACAUCUCUUCUCUAAAUGUCAUCUUAAAUAUGUACCUCCUUCUGUUUCCAUCUAUUUGUAACCAGAAUCUAAAUUAUAGAAUUUGCAUCUUUCCAAGUAGGAUCUAACUUGCUGUUCAAUAAAUACUUCUAAUCCUAAAUGCAAAUUAUGGCCACUGUAAUUUUUCGCUUUGGGAUACUUAUGGAAAAGAGUAGUGUUUAUUAACUUUCCCUGAAUUAAAUGUAACCAGUAGCUAUUUUGGCCUUCAGGUUGUUAUUAAUGAUAAUUAACUGUGGUGAUGAAGAAUUACUAAUAGUUAUGAUCCUGAGGAGUAAAAUGAUGUAUUUCAAAGAGCUCCCUGUACCUUUAGGUGUUGAGUAAAGCAAUCCAGUCUUUUUUAUUUAUUUAUUUUUUUUCAUCCAGGAAGACACAGGCACUGGCCAUUCCUGGGUGCCAAGUGCAGAUUACUCUUCUGCCUACCCCUUUCCUGUUCUCCUCUGGAGCUUUUCUCAUGGCUAGCAGCUCAGCAGAGACACCUCCCCUAGAGGAGACAGGCGAUGUUAGGUUAAGAAAUGCUUGUGUUAGCACUUGAACACCUGCCUUCACCAGUUUUAGUUUAUUUAUUUUGAGAGACAGAGAGCAUGAGUGAGUGGGGGAAGGGCAGAGAAAGAGAGGGAGAGAGAAAGUCCCAAGUAGGCUCCACACGGGCAGCGCAGAGCCUGACACAGGGCUUGAACUCAUGAACCAACAGAUAGUGACCUGAGUGGAAGUUGGACACUUAACAGACUGAGCCACCAAGGAGCCCCAGCCACAGGUUUUAUUUUAGAUGAAGGGAAAUAGGGAAGACAAGUUGGAAUGAGUCACCUUCUUUUCAUCCUCUAGCAACACGAAUUCCCAAGUGUUGGGGGGGGCUCUGAGCAAGGAGUCCUCUGUUGUCAGAACUGUGACAGGCUUGGCUGCUCAUAUGACGGGGUGAAGAACUUGAGAAAGGAUGAACUCGAAUGCUGUGGUUCUCUACCUUGGCGGCAUAUGGGGCCAGCUGGGGAACCUUUUAAAAAUGUUCAAUGACCACCUUCAGAAUGGUUAAAUCAGUAUAUUUGGAAAUGGGAUUCAAGCAUCAGAUUUUUUUUUUUUUCUGAAGCUUGCCAAGUACUUCCAAUAUGCAGUCAAGGUCAAGAAUUACUGGGCUAGUAAUAGACCUCUCGUUUUUUUUCCCUCCAGUUUUAUUGAGAUAUAAUUGGCGUAUAACGUUGUAUUAGCUUAAGGUGUACCACAUAAUGAUUUGGUAUAUGCAAAGUGAUUAAAAGAGUUAAGUUUUGUUAAAUACCAUCACUGGCCAUCUCUUCUUGACAUGCAAAUAGCCAUCAAGCAGCAGCCCCCCCCAGGCUUAUUUGUUCCUUGCAGUCACCUGAGAUUCUUUUUUAAAUUUAUUUAUUUAAAGUCAAGUUACUUAACAUACAGUAUAGUAUUGGUUUCAGGACUAGAACCCAGUGUUUCAUCCCUUACAUAGAAGACCCAGGGCCUGUCACCCAUUUAGCCCAUCCCCCAUCACCCAUUUAGCCCAUCCCCCACCCACCUCCCCUUCGGCACCCCUCUGUUUUUGUAUUGAAGAGUCUCGUGGUUUGCUUCCCUGUUUUUGUCUGAUUUUUCCUUUCCUUCCCCUAUGUUCAUCUGUUGUGUUUCCUAAACUGCACAUAUGAGUGAAAUAAUAUGAUAUUUGCCUUUCUCCGACUGCUUUCGCUUAGCAUAAUACAUCCCAGUUCCAUCCACAUUGUUGGUAAUGGCAAGAUUUCAUGAUUUUUGACGCCAAGUAGUAUUCCAUUGUGUGUGUGUGUGUGUGUGUAUGCUACAUCUUCUUUAUCCAUUCAUUAGUUGAUGGCCAUUUGGGCUCUUUCCAUAUUUUGGCUAUUGUUGAUAGCGCUGCUGUAAACAUUGGGGUGCAUGUGUCCCUUCGAAUCAUCAUUUUUGUAUCCUUUGGAUAAAUACCUAGUAGUGCAAUUGCUGGGUCAUAGGGUAAUUCUAUUUUUAAUUUUUUGAGGAACCUCCAUACUUUUCCAGAGGGGCUGCACCAGUUUGUAGUCCCAUCAACAGUGCAAAAGGGUUCCCCUUUCUCCACAUCCUCACCAACAUCUGUUACUUCCUGAGUUGUCAGUGGUAUUUCGUUGUGCUUUUGAUUUGUAUUUCCCUGAUGAUGAGUGAUGUUGAGAGUCUUCAUGUGUCUGUUAGCCAUCUGGAUGUCUUCUUUGGAAAAGUGUCUCUUCGUGUCUUCUGACCAUUUCUUUACUGGAUUAUUUGUCUUUUGGGUGUUGGGUUUGAUAAGUUCUUUCUAGAUUUUGGAUACUAACCCCUUAUCCAUUAUGCCAUUUGCAAAUAUCUUCUCCCAUUCCAUCAGUUGCCUUUUAAUUUUGUUGAUUGUUUCCUUUGCCGUGCCGAGGCUUUUUGUCUUGAUGAGGUCCCAGUAGUUCAUUUUUGUUUUUGUUUCCCUUGCCUCUGGAGACAUGUUUAGUAAGAAGUUGCUGUGACUGAGGUCAAAGAGGUUGCUGCCUAUUUUCUCCUCUAGGAUUUUGAUGGUUUCCUGUCUCACAUUUAGGUCUUUCAUCCAUUUUAACUUUAUUUUUGUGUAUGGAAUCACCUGAGAUUAAACAUCUUUUUUUUUUUCAAAUUUUUUUUUUAAUGUUUAUUUAUUUUCGAGACAGAGAGAGACAAAGCAUGAACGGGGGAGGGUCAGGGAGAGGGAGACACAGAAUCUGAAACAGGUUCCAGGCUCUGGGCNNNNNNNNNNNNNNNNNNNNNNNNNNNNNNNNNNNNNNNNNNNNNNNNNNNNNNNNNNNNNNNNNNNNNNNNNNNNNNNNNNNNNNNNNNNNNNNNNNNNNNNNNNNNNNNNNNNNNNNNNNNNNNNNNNNNNNNNNNNNNNNNNUUCAGUUAAUCACACAGAUUCUUUUUCACACAGAUUUAUUUUUAUUCUAAAUGUCACAUAAGAAGUCUUUACAUAUAUAUUUAUAUAUGUACUUAUGUCUUUAUGUAUACAAAAUAAUAGAGACAUUCAUAAAACUCACUUUUAACAAUGAAGCAUUAUUUUAUUUUAUCACGCAGUAAUGUNNNNNNNNNNNNNNNNNNNNNNNNNNNNNNNNNNNNNNNNNNNNNNNNNNNNNNNNNNNNNNNNNNNNNNNNNNNNNNNNNNNNNNNNNNNNNNNNNNNNNNNNNNNNNNNNNNNNNNNNNNNNNNNNNNNNNNNNNNNNNNNNNNNNNNNNNNNNNNNNCCUGGAGCCUACUUCGGAUUCUGUGUGUCUCUGUCUCUCCCUGCCCCUCCCCUGCACGCUCNNNNNNNNNNNNNNNNNNNNNNNNNNNNNNNAUUUUCUCCUCUAGGAUUUUGAUGGUUUCCUGUCUCACAUUUAGGUCUUUCAUCCAUUUUAACUUUAUUUUUGUGUAUGGAAUCACCUGAGAUUAAACAUCUUUUUUUUUUUCAAAUUUUUUUUUUAAUGUUUAUUUAUUUUCGAGACAGAGAGAGACAAAGCAUGAACGGGGGAGGGUCAGGGAGAGGGAGACACAGAAUCUGAAACAGGUUCCAGGCUCUGGGCUGUCAGCACAGAGCCCGACACGGGGCUCGAACUCACGGACCGCGAGAUCAUGACCUGAGCCGAAGUCGGCCGCUGAACCGACUGAGCCACCCAGGCGCCCCUAAACAUCUUUUUUAAUGUUUAUUUAUUUUUGAAGGAAAAAGAGACAGAGCGUGAGCAGGGGAGGGGCAGAGAGAGAGGGAGACACAGAAUCUGAAAGGGGCUCCAGGCUCUGAGCUGUCUGUGCAGAGCCCCACUCUAGGCUCCAACUCACAAGCCAAGAGAUCAUGAGCUGAGCUGAUGUCAGUCUCGCUUUAGCCGACUGAGCCACCCAGGCACCCCAAAGAAUCACCUGAGAGUUUAAAAAGGUACUGAUGCCUGGACCUGUUCCUUGAGAUUCUGAUUUAAUUGAUUUGGGGUUGGGUUCUAGCAAUCAUUAGCCUUCUUCAAAGGCUCUGCCAGUAAUACUAAUGUGCAGUCAGGAGGAAGAACUGCUAAUUGGACUGGGAAUAAACAUUUUAGCUCAUAGCCAGCUCUGAGGGAACACGCUCUGUACCUGCUGGACAGAGUGCCAAGAGUUCAAGCAAGAAUGUGAAAGGGAAGGUGUAAGCACAGGAAGAGAGAAACAUGACGUGCUUCAAAGUGGGGGCCUAUGGUCAAUCCUUGUGCGUGGUGUGUGUGUGUGUGUGCGUGUGUGUGUGUGUGUGUGUGUGUGUAGUGAUGUGUGUGACAAAGAAAGAGGGAGAUUGCGAAAGGCAAAUUUGUCCCCAACCAAGAGAAAUAGGAGGAUAGAAGAUAGAACUGAGUUGGCUUUUUUUUUUAUAGUCUAUAAUUUUGGACAUUUGGCCAACGUCUCUUCAUCUGUGAGCAGAGUUGGUGCAGUUUUAUUUGCAUAAAGAAUAGAUGUGAUCCAAGUUUUCCUGAAAAGGCUCCCUAAUCCAAAAAUGUGCCUCCUAUUUCACCUUUCCCGUCAACCACCGUGGCUGAAAAAGUCCCCUGAGUUAGAGCCUUUCUUUUGGGUUAAGCCAGGCCAGUAAAUCAAUAUGAUAUCCUCUGUUGGCUUUAGAGUUUAGCUUCAUUUUUGUUGUCAAAUGCAUUUACGUAGACCUUGGCUUGGUAGGAUAUGAGUGAGAAUUUAAAAACAGACUUCUCUGGGCUUCGCUCUGAAAUUUCAGAAUUGCCUGAGAAAGAAGGGAGUUGUCCCCAGAAAGGGAGUUUCCUCAGGUGACAGAAAUAAGCCCUAACUUGAGGGAGGGGUCUAAAGACAAUGGCAAGGUAAGGUGACCAGAGGCCAACGUACUUCCUUUACAAUUAACUAAUUGCUGCGGUUGUUAUUUGCCCCAGUGAAAACCUUGAGGGUGGAGAAAUGUUUUUAUCCCUGUUUCCCAAUUCAGAGUCAACUGACACGUUCAUCUUUUAGUGCCUCAGGAUGGAAUCUAGGGUUUGGUUUGGAAAUGUUCUGGCUUGGAGCAGAGCUCCUAAUGGCUGUCCCCUGACGUGGCUUGUUUUUUGGGGUUUUUUUGUGUGUUUUUUUUGGACAUUCUGUAUUAUUGUAUUAGAUCAGCAUGUGGCUUGUUUUAGUUAAAAACAAAAUCUGAUUAUGAGCCAUUAUUUGUUUAAAUUACUGUAAGCAAACACAGGAAUUUAUUUAUUUGUAAUCUAAGAGUUGAUGUUGCGGCUUGUGGUUUACUCAGAAUUAUUCUGAAACUUCUCUCCGCUCUGCCUUUUGGACUGCUGACCACUUCAUUUAUGAGGGGUAUUUUCCUGCAACGGAAGUGAGUAGAACUUCUAGGCCCACCCGGUCCUUGCUACCUGUUGGGUCUGGUCUGCCUUCCAGGUGGGCUGGAAGUGAUAGCUAUCCAGGGCCCCAGACACCAUAUCUCUCCCCUCCUCCUAUCAGGGUGCCUUCGCUUGCCUUGGGGUGGUGUCAGUUUAAACUGCACCGGAAGGGUCAAACACACAUCAUGCGGCUAGAAUGCAAGUUAGCUCAUUGUAUUAUCUAGCACUCAAACAACUGGAGAGAGGCAAUUUCCGAGACAACAGGACCCAAAUAACGUGUCUUCAUUUGGGGCUGGGAGUGCAAUUAGUGGUUAGGGAGGGGAGGGGAGGUGUUCAGUGACUUACUUUAUACUAUCUUAACCUAUUCAUCAGAUGGGUCCAAGGUGUAAAAACAUCAAACAGAGAGAAAAAAAAAUCCAUUUUGAGCAGGUUCCCCUCCCCGACUUAACCAUCAUUUCGAUCUAAUUAAGCUACAAAGAGGGUGGCGGUGUCACUUUCUUUCUCUCAGUUUGGUCCCCAUGGAAAAGAAGAGCAUGUCGUGAAAUCAUUUACACGACAGGAGUUUGGUGGAGUAGCCCCCACAUAACCCAGUUUAUGGGGAGUUGGUGUGAACAGGUCGUUUUCUUAAGGGGGUGGGGAAAGGUAAAGCCCUAAGGUUUUCGAGCGCGCAUGGAGGGUCCCCAGCGCUCUACUCCAGGAGCAGGUGUAGGCGGGCACCAGGGAGACGCUGGCGGCGCGGCGCAGGCCCUCNNNNNNNNNNNNNNNNNNNNNNNNNNNNNNNNNNNNNNNNNNNNNNNNNNNNNNNNNNNNNNNNNNNNNNNNNNNNNNNNNNNNNNNNNNNNNNNNNNNNNNNNNNNNNNNNNNNNNNNNNNNNNNNNNNNNNNNNNNNNNNNNNNNNNNNUGGCUGCGGCAGGUCCCGAAGCACCGGAGGAGCGGCCUCACACCGGGGUGGGAAGAGUGGAAACGUGCGGCAUUGACGCUCACCGAAAUCAGGUCGUGAAACCCUACUAAUUUGACCAGCGCCACAGAGACUGAAUGAAUACCUUUACCAGAAAGGGGAUUCUCGGCUGGGGGAUGUAGCUCAGUGGUAGAGCGCGCGCUUCGCAUGUGUGAGGUCCCGGGUUCAAUCCCCGGCAUCUCCAAACAGCCGUUAUCCCUUUUCUUUUCCUAGCACAGAAAACACUACACGUAGACCUUUUGCUCACAGAACAGUAGGGCGUCCAAGAACAAUCUAACAGUGAGGCAGAGAAACAACAGCGAAGCCCAGGGAAACGGCCUUUUAAGUUGUAAGUAAAAGCGAAACCGGAAAUUGCCCCUGAUACCUCUUUCCUUGUUUGCAUAAAACCAACUUUUGGGUAUGGUUACCGUUGAACUUGCUUUGGGAUCCUAACUUACAGAGUUAGAAAGUAAAAUGAAAAGCGAGGUUGCAUUGGCCGGGAAUCGAACCCGGGCCUCCCGCGUGGCAGGCGAGAAUUCUACCACUGAACCACCAAUGCUCACAGGAGGCAGUGCUUCCCAUAUUUCAAUAGAAGAGAUAUUUCCACGUGUGCGCUGAUUCGCUUCUGUUUGUAAUUAUAUGUUUAUGUGUUCAAUAUUAAAUAAAGCAGUGGAAUCUGUAAUUAAAUAAUUAUCAUAAAAUAUUGGGAAAACAUUCAGAUUGACAAAAAAUCCAAUCCUAUUAACUUCUGUUGAACUUUAUUAAGUGAUUCUUCUGAGGCUGAUCGCGGUGAAGCAGGCAAAUGGAAAUUUUGUUAUGUGUGUACAGGAUUACACAGCUACCUAGCUGUCUCUUCGGACCUUUAGACGAUUUGUAACAACUCCUCCCUAUUUUUCUUCUGUUAUAGUAGCUAUUCAAACAACUACGUGUUCACAUUUGUUAGGAACAAGGGGUAAGGAGCUAGGACCCUGACCAAAUUAUAAGAGUAAAUUAGAACGCUGUGACCUGACUUUGAAGCAUUGGUGAUUCUAGCCAAAUGACCUAACUUCUCUAAACCGCUCUUUCUUUCAUUGUGAAUGACUUGAUCAUGGGCCCCUUUUCAACACUAAUUUUAUGAAUCAGAGCCUCUACCCAUAGGAUACUAUACAUCAAGAAUACUAGAGUGGCGUUGGAGAAAAUCAUAAAAGAUUAAUGACUAACCUAAGAACUCCCACAUUAGGAUUUAUUUUUAAGAAGUUUUUACUGUGUGAAUAGAGAGCAAAAUUUGAAGAUAAAUACAUCAUGAAAUUAUGAAGACAUAGAAGAUAUGAAGACGUUAGGG